rnacentral:lncRNA from 1 species
AAAAAACACAAUCCAAGUGUAUUUUUGGUGAGAUGCAUAGUUUAACUAAACCGUGUUAUUACAAAAUUUUUAAUUACUAGGAACUCCUAAUGAAACGAAUACAUUAUUUUUAUAAUUACGAGGUAAAAUGGAAACAUACAAACUACUAAAAAAAGUUGCAAUUCGAUUAUUGGGAUUCAAUCUACUCUCCAUGAAUGUUCUUGAAAUGAGAGUUUUUAAGCAGCUACAACUUGCUUAUGUAUAAAAGCAAAACCCUUCUCAACGCCUACCUUCAGUUUUGGCUUUAGAGCUUCAAGUGAUUUUUGCCCCUACUCAGAUAAACCCUGAAGAUCAGAUGUUACAAAGGCUUCAAUUCCACAUGCAAAAAUCAUGUUCAUGAACCAAAAGCACCUUAAGCUUCUCUUCGAUAUCUUUGAGCUCACUGGAUAAAGAACUGAUUUCUAAAGCAAUCAUCUCUACCAUAUCCUCAUCGUUCCCACUGUCUUUUAAUAAGGUUGGCAUGAUAAUCACAACAAAGAAGAAGAAACUAAGAUCAAUUUAACAAAUUUUAUGUUGGGAAACUUUUUUAAGAACAACUACUUAUAAACCAACCUUAGCUUUGGCCUCACAUUCCUUGAAUUUUCUAAAAGUAGAUACCACCUGUCCGGGCAACCCACACCAACCAACCAAGAGUAAGUUAGUGUGAAAGACACUUAUUUAAUGAAGAAUAUGUAAAAGAGGUCAUUCCAACUGUUACACAUAAUAGUAUUGGAGGCAGAUAACCUUGCCAUACCUCAUCAAGUUCUGAUAUUGAUUGAGCUAGUUUUUGAUACUCUGUGGGGUUUGAGACAAUAUCUGGAUUGACCAGCUUAACCUAAAUAAUAAUAUCGAUAGUGAUUAUUGUGUAGGAAAAUAUUAAAGCUAUAACCAAAUCAAAAGCAUAAUUGGAAAUACAUCAAAGAUGUAAAUGCAAAUUUCAAAAGUGGAUCUACAGAAUGUAAGGGGAAGAAACUCAAAUAAAAUUACUUUAUUAGUUAUACGACUACUAUAGAGAUUCCAGAUACACCACAGUUCCACGUCCUCUUUCAGGAGGAAAGCAAUGGUUAAAAAUUAAUUGUGAAAACUAAAGAAGGUCCUGUUCAAAUCCUAACAGCAAUAGGAAAGCAAGGAGUUAUAAGGUGAUCACUAUAGCCAAAUCCAAAAUGCAUUCAAUAUUUGUCUUCCAAUUUCAUUAUCAAGUGCAUAGGCAAGGUCCCUAGUGAGGAAGUUAUUCGUUCUUUUCUUCAUUUUCUAUAGCUCUAGAAGUAGCUAAAUGGAAUCGUCAAGCACCUAAUCUAUUAAUUUUAAAACUCAAAAGUUCACCGCGGGAUUCUAGUCACUGCUGAAACAACAUAGAGUUCACUAGUUCCACAGUUAAAUUAAUUGCAAAUUGCAUUUCCUGGCAUUUUCAAGAAAAAAAAAAUGCACAAAUCAUAAUAUGAUGAAGUAGAAAAAUUUUGUGAGCUCGACUUUUCCAGGACAUAUCUUAGCUACUUCUCCUAUUCCAGCUCGAUAACCAUUGUACUUUAACAAUUGAAACAUUAAUCCAAUAGUUAACAAUGUUCUGCACUUUAUGCCCUUACAUUUCCAACAACUUGAUGCAUACAUCAGUAGUUAACACAGGCACGAGCUCUUAAAUUCAAUGCAAAAUAACAGUCCCAUUCCAAGCAUAGACACCAAAUACAAACAAUUGAUGGACUUGAAUCAGUGAAGAAAUAAGAAUGUCAUUUAACAGCAAAGCACAAAUUACCGAUAAUUUUUUCCACGUCUUCUCAGCAGAUUCCAAUUUCACGAUCAAAUAAGGUUCCUAAAAUAAAGCAAUCACCAUCAUCAUUUUCCACAAAUAUGAUUCGAACUAGUUUUACCACAAAUUAAUUUCUAGUAACUUGAAGAAAAACUCAGUGAACUCAAAGCAUAACGAAACUCAAGUUCUGUUAAAGCCAAUCCGAACAAUAAGAUAUAGACAUAUUGUGUUCUCGAAAGAAAAACAUUCAAUAAAUCUAACAGCCAUGCAAAUUAGAGUUGAAGCUCUAAAGGGAGGUGCAAAGCAUUUAAGUUCCAGAGAGCAUCUUCUGAAGGCGAUGAGCCCAUAAGAUGAAAAAAAGGCCUCAAGUGAGGAAGAAAGACGCCAUCCAAACAUGAAAAAAGGAAGAAAGGCAAGAUUUUGGUAGCUCCAGACCUGAGGGAAGCCAACAAGGUGGCGAGGGAGGCAAGGCCCCAAAGUUUAGCAUUGCCAGCAAAGUGAAGGUAGAGAAGGACCUUUCCUUUCGACGUGGCCCUCCGAGAGUUUAUGGACGCCCCAAUUGGGGCGUUUGGAUGGAGUAAGUUCUUCAAGGGACUUCCAAGAUUCGAUGGAGGUUGUCAAGAAAUUCUACGCAUCAGAUUACAACCACUACAAGGAAUUUCAGAUCAACCAACACAAUUUAACACUAUUGGGAGAAUCCACGAAUUCUUGGUCAAGUAGAAGAACCUCCAUGUGGAAGAAACAAAUUGUGAACGUGUCGAAGACCUUGAAGUGUGGAAAUGGAAGAUCAAAGAGUUCCAGCUUCGCCAGUCGACAGGGACGUCAACUGUUUAAGUAGGGGAGAAUGUCAAGAGCAUGCUUGUCCAAGGCAUUGUUUGCCCAUGGCCGCAUGGCCGAACAUCCUCAAACCGCCUUAUAUUUAUGUCUUAUACUUAGUUUAGCCAUUUUGUUUCCUUUUGUUGUCGCCGACCUAGGGUGUGACGUUUCAAAAUUUUCAUAUGCAAGUCUGUCAUAGCUAAAAAUGUUUAAAAUGUACUAUAGGGAAGACAUAGUAGUUGAAUCCCUGACCAAGCCUUGUUGCACUCUUUGCAUUCUAAUCUUUCUUUGCAAUUAACAGUCUUCAAUGCUUUCUUUAACGAUGUUUUCAAUUCUUUUCUUCUCUUCUUGUCUUAUAAAAAUAAAUUUCUCUCAAAACAUGAAAGAGGCUAUACCGUACUGCGUGCUUUUUGCGACUUCUGGAUUUCAUACAGCUUACUUGUUCACCGAGCUAGAACAAACGUCGCAUAAUCACCAUCCCCUAUUUGAAAAUUUACGAUUAUGACAGCAUGCGGUGAGGUGCACGCGGCAUGUGUGGGCCCAAGCCAAGCAUGCAACUGGCAUUCUGAUACUCUAUGCACGUGCAUGCUGCCUGCGCCCAUGCCGUGCAGCCAGCAUUGUCAUGACGUAGUUUUUGGGAUGUUUGGUGUUUUGGGAAAUUUUGAGCAAAUUCUGGAUGUUCGAGCAUGCGGAUGUUCUAUGCAAUGCAACCAGCAGCCCAUAUGUUCUAUGUUCUCUUUACGGUCGUAUGUGCACAUUUGGUUAACUCUACUACUAAUGGGAAAGUUGACGAGCCUAUGCUGAAUUCAUCAGGAAAGGUGUACUUUGUUGAGCCCAUUGAGGAGAAGGAUACCUUCUUUUUUCGAAGAGGUGUUUCAAUGCCUAGGCCGUCUUUUGACAAUGAGGUGUUAAUAUUACCUAGACUUCAUGCUAAGAACGGGUUGUGAAUUUAUAAUCAAGAAUGCAGUUCGAGUAUCAUGUCUUUCAAAUGAUUUCCAACAGCUUGAAUGUUUCUAUAAGACAAGAAUUUAUGCUUAACUGUUUUAGAAAGCAUGUUUUAUAAAAAUUGUCACUCACUAAGUCUUUCGACUUAUCCUUUCAAAUCAUUUCUCACUUUUCAGGUAUGGAUUAUGCAUUCCCUAAUGUUAAGCGUAUUGCUGCUGAGCCAACCAGUUACUAGAAAUUGUUAAGUCAUUUUGAAAGUUAGUUUUGACUUUGUAAGAAAAGUUCAGGAUGAGCAUGUCUAUGUUUAUUGUUAAAGUUCCAAUGUUAUAAGUUAGUUUAGUAAAAAGGUCACUGUCAUGUUUAAAGCUUCUGCUGAUGUAUCACAAUAGUUGUAACUAGUGGUUUAAGUUAUUAGUAAAAGCAUGUAGCUUGUAUCGCUGUUUGUUUUGAGCAUGCAUUCAUGUUGUAACUGGUAGUUAAGUUAGAAAGGUUAGUCGGUUGGUAAGUUUUGCCAAGGUAUGGCAAUCCUUGCCAACCCUCGCACCUUCUUUCAGAGCUAGAUGUUGUUCAGAAAAUAAGGAGCUUUGGGAGGGGGUGGUGACAACAACACCAUCCCACUAGAGUACGCAAUGAUGCAUUAUUGUUUAAUUAAGUCAUAUAUACUUCCACAAUUUGGAUAGGAAUUUAACUCAUUAGAAGGUGUCCUAUAGAAUUUCUCAGUGAAAAGUUCAGAGAAGCUACAAACAAAUGUCACUACCGAACAACAAUCAUAUACAUGGGUUAGGGCUUUGAGCAGUGUGAACACAACUUAAUAAUAAAUAUGAAGUCGUCCUCUUUUCAUCAUUAGUCAGAAGAAUUCUUAAACUUUCUAAAAAUAAUUGUCAAAUAAUUGAUUAUAUAGUAUGCCAUUUAUUUGGAAUACAAUUUUUUCAUUACCAGGAAAGGAGACUUCUCACUAAGUAAAUGUAAAGAGACUAAUGCUAUAAUUUGAAUUGGAAAAUAUAAUUUCAUAAUUAAGCAUCGAAUAGGGACUAGUUAAGAAGUACACACUUUAGUUUGCCAGAGUCCAUGUUCUACACAUGUUAGCCACUCUGUCAUUGGUUUAGCAGUAAAACAAAGGAUGUGUUUAGGAUGUGAGCCACACAAAAGGGAAAGAAAACAGAAGGCGCAGUGAGCCACACAAAAGGGAUCGAAACGAAUGUUCAGAAAUAUCGGAAGGAUCGAAGAAAUAUGGAAGGAAAGACGAGGAAAAAACAACAGACCGGAGCAAGUUCAAGAAGGUAGAGAUCCCGAUCUUCAAUGGAAUAGACCCCGAUUCAUGGUUAUUUCGCGCCGAUCGUUAUUUCAAGAUACACAAGUUGACUGACUCAGAGAAGUUAAUGGUAGCGGUAAUCAGUUAUUAGGACCAGCUUUGGAUUGGUAUAGAUCAAUUGAUGAAUUGGAACAAUUCAAGAGUUGGGAAGAUUUGAAGCAAAGGUUGUUGUCCGAUUUCAGACGAUUCGGGAUGGAACACUCGUAGGCAGAUUCUUAAGGAUUAAGCAGGAAACGACAGUAGGGGAAUAUAGAAACAGUUUCGAUAAAUAUUUAGCUCCGGUAGCCUUCCUCCAGACCAUAGUAUUAGAAGAAACCUUUAUGAAUGGGCUAAGCCCAUGGCAUAAAUCCGAAGUUGAAACGCUGGAGCCCAUAGGUUUGGCCAAGAUGAUGUAACUAGCCCUGAAAUUGAAAAUAGAGAGAUGGUUCGUCGAGAAUGUGGGCUUAGUAGUGUUUCGGGAAUGAAUCAACAAUUCAAGCAUAAUAACGUAAAGCAAACCUCGACAGUAACACCCAAUCAGAAACCCACGGAAGGGAGCUGGCCAAUGAGAACGAUUACGUUAAAAAGAGUGACGGCAGAUGAAAAGAGGAGGGAAGGUCCGACCAAGCGUCUUUCCAACGCUGAAUUUCAAGCACGGAGGGAAAACGGUCUGUGUUUUCAGUGUGAGGAGAAGUAUCACGCUGGACAUAGGCGUAAGGUGAAGGAACAGAAGGAAUUACGGAUGUUAGUAGUAAAGGAAAUGGGAGAAGAACUGGAAAUCAUUGAGGAUGAACACUUUGAUGUGGAAACGGAGGCCCAGACCAUUGAAAUUGAAAAAGUGGAGAAUAUGAAUAUAGAGCUGUCCAUUAACUCAAUUGUGGGGUUAUCCAACCCUGGAACCAUGAAACUGAAAGGGAAGAUAAAAGAGACCAAAGUGGUAAUAAUCAUCGACAGUGGAGCCACCCACAGUUUUAUUGCAAAAAAUUUUGUAACCACCCUUAGCCUACCAAUGACAGAAACGUCCAACUAUGGAGUGAUUUUGGGAUCAGGGGUUGCGGUCAAAGGAAAAGGAAUCCGCAGUAAUGUUGAAGUGACGGUAGGAGAGUGGAAAAUUACAAACAACUUUUUACCCUUGGAAUUAGGGGUGGUUGCACUCAUUGGGCAUGACUGAAUUUGAUAUGAAAAAUUUGGUGAUGACAUUCCGACAUGGAGGAAGGAAGAUAGAGAUAAAGGGGGACCCUAGUGUCACCAAAACCCAAGUGAGCCUAAAGUCUAUAAUUAAGACAUGGGGAGCUGAUAAUCACGGUUAUUUGGUAGAAUGUCGGGCCAUGGAGGGAAGGCUAGCUGAGGAAGGCUUAGAGGAUGAAGAAGUGCCAGCCACUGUUGACAACAUGAUCUCUCCUCUGUUGAGCAAAUUUAAUGAUGUUUUUGAUUGGUUGGAAGAGCUGCCUUCGAAGAGGAACAUUGAGCACCAUAUACCCCUUCAGAAGGGGGUGGAUCCAGUUAAUGUCAGACCUUAUCGUUACGCACAUCGGCAAAAGGAGGAAAUUGAAAGACUAGUUGAUGAAAUGUUGAAGACAGGCAUCAUAUGACCGGGUACCAGUCUGUAUUCCAGCCCAGUCCUUCUCGUGAAAAAGAAAGAUGAUAGCUGGCAAUUUUGUGUAGAUUAUCGGGAGUUGAACAAUGUCACUAUCCCAGAUAAGUUCCCAAUUCCGGUCAUAGAUGAGUUAUUCAAUGAGCUGAAUGGGGCCAACAUGUUUUCGAAGAUUUAUUUAAAGGCGGGUUAUCACCAAAUCAGGAUGCAUCUGAGAGGUGUAGAGAAGACGGCCUUUCGAACACAAUGAGGGACACUAUGAGAUUCUUGGUCAUGCCCGUUUGAGCUAACCAAUGCCCCCUCUACGUUCCAAGCAUUAAUGAACCACAUCUUUAAGCCUUAUAUGAGAAAGAUUCGUAUUAGUGUUUUUCGAUGACAUUUUGGUGUACAACAGGGGAGUAGAAGAACAUGGACAGCAUCUGGAAGUAGUCUUGGAGAUCCUUCGAGAGAAUGAAUUGUAUGUGAAUUUAGCCAAAUGUUGCUUUGCCAAAAGUAGAAUAGGUUAUUUGGGGCAUUUCAUAUCCGAAAAGGGAGCUAAAGUUGAUCCAGAAAAAAUAAGGGCAAUUAGGGGAAUGGUCGAUUCCCACUAGUGUGCGAGAAGUUCGAGGUUUCUUAGGACUCAAUUGAUACUAUAGGAAGUUUGGGCAGAAUUAUGGCAGUAUCGAAAGCCCUUUGACACAGCUUUUGAAGACAGGAACUCAUUGUUGGACUGAAGAAGCAAGUGCUGCCUUUGAGAAGUUGAAGAUGGCAAUGAUGAUUCUACCGACGUUAGCUAUGCUGGACUUUAAUCUACCACUCGAGAUAGAAACAUAUGUAUCUUGUUUUGGUGUGGGGCCGUUUUAGUACAAGCCAAGAGACAAAUAUCCUUCUUUAGUAAAACCUUAUGCAUGUGGGAUAGAGCGCGACUGGUUUAUGAAAGAGAAUUGAUAAUAGUAGUGUUUGCGGUGCAAAGGUGGAGACCAUAUUUGUUAGGGAAGAAAUUUACAGUGAAAACUGAUCAGAAGUCGCUCAAAUUUCGGCUAGAACAAAGGGUGAUUCAACCCUAAUACCAAAAAUGGAUAGCCAAUCUUUUGGGAUAUUCAUUUGAGGUAGUCUGCAAUCCUGGAUUGGAGAAUAAGGCAGCCGAUGCUCUAUCUAGAACACCCCGUAUAGUGCACUUAAAUCAAAUAUCAGCCCCAACACUACUCGAUUUAGUGGUGAGUCAAGAAGAGGAAAAGAGGGAUCAAUACCUACAGGAAAUCCAGAAGAAAAUAGAAAGAACAAAAAGUGAAAGUUCCAAACUUUUCAGUACAGCAAGGGGUAUUGAAAUACAAAGGAAGGUUGGUGCUGUCAAAAACAUCCGUUCUACUACCCACUAUCAUGCAUACCUAUCAUGAUUUUGUCUUUGGAGGACAUUCAGGGUUCCUAAGAACGUACAAGAGGAUGACCGGAGAGAUUUACUAGGAAGGAAUGAAGAAAAACAUAAAGAAAUACUAUGAAGAAUGUCUUGUAUGCCAAAGGAAUAAAACACUUGCAUUAUUACCUGCUGGAUUGCUGCUGCGCACUUGAGAUUCCUAACACAGUGUGGUCGGAUAUUUCCAUGGAUUUUAUAGAUGGACUUCCAAAAUCAGCUGGAAAAGAAGUGAUUUUUGUGGUUGUAGAUUGUCUGAGUAAGUAUGCACAUUUUACAGCUAUAAAUCAUUCUUACAUGGCCAGCUUCGUAGCAGAAGUUUUUGUUAAAGAAGUGGUGAGAUUGCACGGUAGCAUGUAUCCGCAGUAAGUUGUAUCGGAUCAAGACAAAAUCUUUAUUAGUCAUUUCUGGAAGGAAAUGUUCAAGUUAGUGGGAACUAAAAUAAAUAGAAGGAAAUGUUCAGGUUAGUGGGAACUAUGCCCAUAUACACCAAGUUCGAAUAUAGAACUUGCUUCUUACUGAAAAAAUAAUGAUUAUGGGACUUGCUAUAAGGGUAUCCAAUACUCGAAGUAAAUGAAUGAUUACAAAAUGAUUGUUUCCUCAGUUUGAAGAAGAACAACAAAAAAGAAAAGAAGGAUAAAAAUAAAAAAAAAAACAAACUUUCUUUUUGAAAUUCUAAAAGAAUCCAAAAAGACUUCAAAAGGUGCAACCAAGAAAGGAGGUCAAAGAAGGGCUCUGAUAGACCCCCCUAUCAUACGUCAAUAUAGUCAAAAAAAAAAAGAGAGAGAUCACAAGGGAACACACAUGCGAAGAAGAAAAGAUUUAAAGGAUUGUUAGAAGAAAAGAUUUAAAAAGCUUGUUGGGCGUCGGUUAGAUUUGAGGAGAUUUAGGAGGGUCGUUAGGUGUUGAUUAGAAUAAAUAAGGAUAGGGAGGAAAGAGGAGGGUAUGCUGAGUUUAGAAGAAAAUUGACUCAUGCUCUUCCUUGAGCGAUAGGAUAGCAGAGAGGGAAUUAGAUUGUUUUUCGAAUUGAGUCCUCCUCAAUUUGAGUGUUCUGAUAUUUUGAUUUUCCUUGUAACUCAUUCUUUGAUUGAAGCAAUAAAAGUUCUAAUUGGAUUUCCAAAAGAGUUCUAUCAAAUUGGUAUCAGAGACAGUUUUUUCUGACCAAGAGGAAAAUGAUGGUCCAAACACGAAUGAAGGAGAGAAUGGAGGCGCACGACCAGGAGAUGCAUUUGAUGAGAAGCGAGAUAAGCAAAAUUUCGACAAUGAAAGAAAUAUUAGCCACGAUCAGCGUACAGACAAAGAAGACUCACAAAAUGUUGAUAAUGUUCAUGGAAUCGAUUACCAGAGAGCAUAUCGUUAUGAGUGAGAAAAUGGCCGAGUCGAGUGUGCGAGAGACAGUAUCAACAAUAACGAAUAAGAAGGAAGGCUCGAUCGAAAAGGACCAUGAGCACGAAACAAAGGAUGGAAAGAUAGAAGGAGAAGACGGAGCGAACGAGCAUAAUAAGUUCAAGAAGGUUGAGAUGCCAGUUUUCAACACGGAAGAUCCCAAUUUUUGACCCUUUCGAGCAGAUAGAUAUUUUCAGAUACACAAAUUGACUGAUGCUGAGAAGGUCCUGGUUGCGACCAUUAGUUUUGAAGGCCCGACGCUGAACUAGUAUAGGGCGCAAGAAGAACACGACAAGUUUACCAGUUGGUCGAACCUCAAGGAGAGAAUACUCAUCCGUUUUCAAUCAGCAAAAGAGGGGUCCAUAUGCGGACAAUUUUUUAGGAUCGGAUAACAGACGACAGUAGAAGAAUAUCGAAACCAGUUAUAUAAGCUGAUGGAACCGUUAUCCGAUCUACAAGACAGAGUGGUGGAGGAAACAUUCAUGAACGGUUUACUGCCGUGGAUUAAAGCAGAAGUGGAUUUUUGUCGUCCGGUCGACGUGGCUCAAAUGGUGCACGCGGCUCAACUCGUAGAAAAUCGAGAGAUAAUUCACAAUGAGGCCAACCUUAAGGGGUACGCCCAAGGAAAAUAUCCGCCUCAAGGUUCUAGGCAAAAUACGAGUGCUGCGACGGUGAACGAUAGCGACAAUAAGAGAAAUACAUUAUUUUCGAUGAGAACGAUUACUCUGAGAACGACAUCCAGAGAAGUUAAGAGAGGGGCAGGCAAAGCGAUUGUUAGACGCGGAGUUUCAAGUCAGGAAGGAAAAAGGACAUUGUUUCCGUUGUAAUGAGAUAUAUUAUCAUGAUCAUCGAUGCAAAAACAGAGGGCAAAGAGAGUUGAGAAUGUACGUGGUCAGGGCGAAUGAUGAAGAAUUUGAAAUCAUAGAAGAAGUGGGAGAAAAUGAAUUGUUUGGAAAUCACAUAAGAAGAUCAUGUUGUCAUCGAACUGUCAAUUAAUUCGGUGGUGGGGCUGAACAAUCCGAGGACAAUGAAGGUGAGGGGGAAUAUCAGUGAGCGAGAAGUUUUCAUUUUCAUUGAUUGUGGAGCAACGCACAACUUCAUCUCCGAAAAGAUAGUAAAGGAGUUACAACUGGCCACGAAGGCAACGUCGCACUAUGGUGUAAUCUUGGGCUCGGGGGAGGCGAUAAAAGGUAAAGGAGUAUGUGAGGACGUGGAAAUCAAGUUGAACGGGUGGAAGGUGGUGGAAAAUUUGUUACCCUUAGAAUUGAGAGGGGUAGAUGUUGUGUUAGGAAUGCAGUAGUUGUAUUCAUUGGGCAUGACGGAAGUAGAUUGGAGGAACCUCACAAUGACUUUUGUGCAACAAGGAGAAAAGGUAGUGAUAAGAGGAGACCCAAGUUUGACCAAAUCCAGAGUGAGUCUCAAGAACAUGAUCAAAAGGUGGAAGGAUUCGUGAUCGAGUGCCGAGCAAUGGAGAGAGUCUUUGAGCCACAGGAAGAUAACGGGAUUGAAGAAGUAUUAACUACUGAUGAAGCAGUAUCGGUCGUGUUGAAGAAUUUUGAAGAUGUUUCUAAUUGGCCGAAGACACUACCCCCGCAAAGAAAUAUUGAACAUCACAUUCAUUUGAAACAGGGCACUGAUCUGGUAAAUGUUCGACCCUAUAGAUACGCUUAUCAACAGAAAGCUGAGAUGGACAAACUUGUGGAUGAGAUGUUGACAGCUGGAAUUAUCCGUCCCAGCAACAGUCCAUAUCUAGUCCAGUUCUAUUGGUAAUGAAAAAAGAUGGCAGCUGGCGUUUUUGCGUAGACUACCAAGCGCUGAACAAUGUAACCAUUCCAGACAAAUUCCCUAUUCCGGUGGUUAAGGAGCUUUUCGAUGAAUUAAAUGAAGCAAACUGGUUUUCAAAGAUUGAUUUGAAGGUGGGGUACCAUCAGAUCAAAAUGUGUGGAGAAGACAUCGAAAAAGCAGCAUUCCGAACACAUGAUGGACACUAUGAAUUUAUGGUUAUGCCAUUCGGCUUAACUAAUGCCACAUCCACUUUCCAAGCUCUGAUGAACUCAACAUUCAAACCAUUUUUGCAGAAGUUCAUAUUAGUGUUUUUCGACGACAUACUAAUCUACAGUGAGAACUUGGAACACCAUUUGAAGCACAUUGGGUUAGCAUUGGAAAUCCUGAGAAAGAAUGAGUUAUAUGCAAACAAGAAGAAGUGCAGCUUCGCACAAGAACGUAUUGAUUAUUUGGGUCAUAUCAUUUCAAGACAAGGAGUUGAAGUGGACCUUGAGAAAAUCAGAGCAAUCACGGAAUGGCCUAUACCCAGUAAUAUAAGAGAGGUACGGGGAUUCCUAGGCCUCACCUGUAACUAAAGAAAGUUCGUUCAGCACUAUGGCUCCAUUGCCGCACCAUUGAUUCAACUACUUAGGAAAGGGGGAUUCCAGUGGACUGAGGAGUCUAAGGAGGCAUUCCAACAACUACAAAAUGCGAUGAUGACCCUGCCCGUUUUGGCGUUGAAAAAAUUUCAAUGCCACAUUUGAAAUGGAAACCGAUGCAUCGGGAUAUGGGGUAGGAGUCGUACUCGUCCAAGCCAAGCGUCCCAUAGCAUACUUUAGUCAUACGUUAGCCUCAAGAGAUAGAGCCAAGCCUGUACAUAAAAGGGAAUUAAUGGCAGUGGUCUUGCAUGUGCAACGAUGGCGACCAUAUCUGUUGGGGAGAAAAUUUAUUGUGAAGACCGAUCAGAAAUCCUUGAAGUUCUUGUUAGAACAAAGAGUGAUACAGCUUCAGUAUCAGAAAUGGGUAGCGAAGCUAACGGGAUACUCAUUUGAGGUGGUCUACAAACUCAGCUUGGAGAAUAAAGCAGUAGACGCCUUGUCUUGGAUGCCUCCUACAAUUAACCUCGGUAGCAUAACAGCUCCUACAUUGGUUGACAUUCUGGUGACUAAAAAGGAAGUCAAAGCGUAUGAAAAAUUAAGCAAAAUAAUGGAAGAACUACAAGCAAUGGAAGAAGUAACAGAGGGUAAAUUCUCCAUCCGACAAGGUAUGUUAAGAUAUAAGGAUAAGUUUGUGUUGUCCAAAACAUCUACAUUGAUACCCACAAUCCUACAUACUUACCAUGAUUUGGUACUUGUGAGGAAUGUGUAAUAUGUCAGAAGAACAAGUCCCUAGUGUAACGAGCAUACUUGUCCAAGGUGUGUUUACCUAUGGCCGUAUGCUCCGAUUAGCCCCAAUUUACCUUGUCUUUAUGUCUUGCACGUAGCUUAGGUAGUUGCUUUCAAUUUCAAGUCGAUAUGCUUGGGUGUGACGUUUCGGCAUUUUCAUAUGUUAAAAAUGUACUAUAGGGGAGGCAUACCUGUUGAAUCCCUGCCCAAGCCUUGUCGUACUCUUUGCAGUCUAUGCUUUCUUAUUGCAAUUGACAGUCUUCAAUGCUUGUUUUAACAACGUUUUCAAUCAAUUUAAUCAUCUUUCAUGUUUUCUAAAACUAUUUUUCCAAGAACGUGAGGGGAGGUUGAAGUAUGUGUUAAAGUUGUCUGCGAUUUGCAGAUUUUGAUCGGCUGACUUGUUCGCCGAGCUAGAACAAGUGCCGCACAAUCGUUCACAUCGUGUUUGAAGGGUUACACAGUAAAGGAAGAGUAAGAAUUUGAGUGGAGAAACUCCAAUUGGGAUCAACACGUGGGCAACAACAUGGCUUCUCACCAACAUGAGAACUCAAAAGAGACAGCAGAUAUUCUAGAGAAGCCAAUGAACUCUUGGGAUGUGAAUCUGCACUUUCCUGCAAUAGUUUGAGUGUGAAUUAGUUCUCUGAAAACACCUGCAGAGGAUAAUCCACGGCAAAACAGAAUAACUAUAAAAAAACCACUUGCAAGUAGAAGAAAAAGGAAGUACAUUUAUACCUUCCCUGUCAAAGUGAUAUCCCUCAUCAACGGAUAUGCAUUUCUUUCCAGGAAGUAGCCAACAAUUUUACAAACCCAUGGGAGUUUAGGUUGUAAUAAGAAAACAAUUGUGUCCAACAAUAGAGUUGCAGGUGUGUUAGAGUUCACAGGUGCAGCCAAAAGUUGAUUCCUCAAUUGGUUUCUAUCAAGAACAACAUCAAGUAAGAAUAAUUCGGAGGAAAAAUAAAGGCAACUUAUCAUAUAUAUAAAUAUGAUUAGUCUGAAUUCGUUUGCGGAAGGUAAAAAAACCUUUAUGUCAAUUAUAUAUAUCUGAACAAAAUCUAAGAAAUAUAUCACUUUUCAACAAAAGAAAUAUAUCAUAUACAAUUAAAGGAUCAUAGCAUAGAAAGCCAACAAAAUCAACAAUGAUAGAUCAAACAUCUGUUUUUCCAUUCAAAACGUUAAAAAGGAUAAGUUUUUAAUAAGGAAUGUUGAAAUGGAAAAAACUAAUUACCUAUUAUGGUGUACAAUCUGGAUGCAAGCAUAUGCAAAUUUCUUAACUCUGUAAUCCACUAAGGCCUUGUUAAGUACAUAAUCCUUGCUAGCGAAAAUGCUCAACAUAUCCCCUAUAUAUGUAAGAGAGAGAAAGGUUAGAAAGUACUAACACUAAGAGAUAUGUGCUAUCAAUUAGAAACACUUUAAGAUGACAUUAUCAAUUAGAAAACCAAGUAUUAAGCAACAUAAGGGAAAAUAACAAACAAGGGCACCACAGUGGUUCAGAAACCAAUCAAUAUUUCCAUUUGUCACUUUUAUAAUAAUUUCCCAAGGGAAAAUCCUCAUAAUAAGCUUGAGUACCACCUAAUAACGUGUUCAAAUGUUACCAUAAGCAAAAAUGAGUGAUCCUAAAAUUCAUAUGACAAGGAAAGUCGUCAACUAGCAACCGCCAAAUAACAGUUAUAUGGCUAGAAUUAGUUUUCUCCAACUUCAAGAAAAUAAAACAUAUUAAAACAAAAGGAAUUAUGGUGCAAAAUAAUGAAUAUGCCUGCAAAGGUAAGAAGUUUCUGAAGGUAAAAAUGGUCAAUAAAAAACAACAUAUAAUUUGACGUAAAUCAAAGUAGAAUUAUUUCUCGCAAUGAAUUCUCUGCCAAUAAUGGCUAAGAGAAGGGGUAUUUAUUGAGAAUUAGUUGGCCAGGCAGAAAUCAUCUAGGGCAUAGUAUUGUUUUAGGUCUGCGACAUUAAAAACAUAAUGAAUGUGUAAGUCUGGUGGUAGUUCUAUUUUGUAAGCAUUAUCUCCGAUCCUCUUUAGGACACGGAAUGGUCCUAAUUGUCUGUCUUUUAGUUUGUUGUAUGUUUCGGUUGGAAAUCGAUUUUUUCUUAGGUGAAUCAUUACUAAAUCUCCCUUGGUAAAGGUAGUUUGUCUUCUUUUUCUGUCUGUUGCGUCUUUGUAGGACUGAGUUGUUUCUUUUAGGUGAUUGUGGACUUCUUCGUGUAAAUUCUGGAUUUUUUCUAUCAUCUUUUCUGCCUCUGAUAGUUAGGGAACUCAACACAUUUUACUUGACCUAACCAAGAUGGCUCUUUGUAUGUAUAUUGCAUGUGUUGUUUGUUUUUUCUAUAGCUCUUGAUUGUCUCACUUUUUUACGUUUUGCAUUUGCAAUUCUCUUUUCUUUCUUUGGUAUGCAAUGUGGUAACAAGGUCUUGCUAGAGCCGGUGGGCUAACCUUUCUAUGGUUCUAAACUUAGUUUCUAAGUUUGAUUGCUCCCUUCGGAGUGACAACAAGCCUCGUUUUCCCCUACUAUGGAAUGGGGAGGAUUCAUUUUCUUUUCAAAGCCCUCGUCAAACUCAAUGCUAAGUUUGACUGCUCCCUUCAAAGUGACAACAAGCCUUGUUUUCCCCUAAUGUGGAUCGGGGAGGAUUCCUUCUCUUUUCAAAGCCCUCAUCAAACUCGAUGUUGUGUUUAGAACGCUAAGAGUAGGUGGUCUGGUUUUGGUUAGGCCAAAAGUGAAGUUUUCCCCCAUUUUUUAUGGGCUUUUUCUAAUGUAUAUUGGAUAUGUUGUUUGAUUUUUUUUAUAGCUCUUGAUUGUCUUACUGUUUUAUGUUUUGCAUUGUCAAGUCUCUGUUUUCUUUCUUUGGUAUGCAAUGUGGUAACUAGGUCUUGCUAGAACCGGUAGGCUAACCUUUCUAUGGUUCUACAUUUAGUUCCUAAUUAAGUUUGAUUGCUCCCUUCGGAGUGACAAUAAGUUUUGUUAAUGUCGACCCUUUUCUAAAGGGAUUUAGUUCACUGUGGCUAGGCAAGAGGUUUCUAACUCAUGUUUGACAAGACAAAUUUGUUAAAACCAUCUUAGUUUUUAAAGAGUGCCUCCUAUCCCUUUUUUACUCUAUCUAGGCUAGGUUUGGACUAAGUGCAUCAUAGGUUAGUCACGACAAAGCAACAAAGGAAGACAAAGCUAGAAAAGUAUUCAUGCACUUAUUUAUUAUACAUGCAAUCAAGCAUUCACAACAUACAUACCAUUUUCUCAAUCAUGCAUUCACACCUCAAUAAGAAAUAGCUAAAAGGAGCUUAAAACAAAAAAGACAGCCGCUUAUUCUCAAAUUUCAGCACAUAUACUCAUCAAAAUUUAGAAUUUCACAUUGCAAACCCGAGCUCAGUGCUCAAGGGUUGCCAAUCAUGCUUUUUAUGCAAGAUCUAAUUAAGCUAAGAAGGUAUAAUGCUCAUUUUGUAUGGAAAGAAUUCUGAAAUUUUUUAAAAUUUGGGCAAAAUUUGAACCCCGAAGUUUAGACUAAACAUGCAAGCUAAGCAAGCUAUUACCCACACCCACUCAAAAAAUUGCUUUGUAUGUCCUAAAAGCUUUUGAAAAUCAAAGUAAAUGGAGAAAAAUAAGGGGGGAACUUUGGACUCCCCUAGAAGGAUCGACAUCCUUGACUUUGGUUUGAAGCUUGCAUGGAUAAACCUUUUCAUUCCUUUUUAAUUGAUUAUUCAUCGUUGUUCCUGAAAAUCAAAGGAAAUUCUCUCAAUUUUAUAUAUUACUAAAAUUAGGAUACAUAUAAGUCUUAACUAGUCUAAUAGCACCCUCCAUUCAUCUUCCCCUACACUGGCUAUGGUAUCAAAAUUUUCAAUUAAGUAAUACGUCUACUAACAAACUUGAAAACAAAAGACAUCACACUAAAAAACACAAACAUCACUUUAACCCAACAGAAGCUGCUCUUUUUACCCUUGCACUCACUAUCACAUUACUAUCAUGUUUGUCAACUGUCAAACUAACUCUUUUAAGUUAUUUAGUGUGACUACAAAGUUAUUAACACCAUAAUCUUAAUUAAAACCUUUUAAUAAACAAAUGCCAAGUUACUACUCAACAAUGGCAAGGAAUUCAAAAAACAUGACUGUAACGACCCAACUUUUCUAAGUAAGUCGAUGUCAUUAAUUUCAAAUAAGGACCUGAGUUUACACAAAAUCUCAAUCUCAAACAAUUUCAAAGUCUCAAGAAAAACAAAAAUUUAUAUCUGGGCCCUGUUUAAAAUAACCAGCACCUUCAAGACAAAUUUACUAAUUCGUGAAUACAGUUCAACUAUAAAAUUUUCUAAACAAUCUCAAGUACUAAACAAAACACGUGAAACAAAACAUUUAGUGGAAGCAAUUUAAAAUAACCCCUAUGGCAAUCACGCUUCCUUUCUGCCCCUCGCCGGUUUGGCGUCUUUAUUACCUUUGCCUGAAAAUUAAACAUAAGGAGGGUGAGUAUAAAAAUACUCAGUAAGAGACCCUCUACUGGUCCCGUCAGGGGAAAAUAAAUUGUUAACAUUCUAUUGGGACACCCUCUACAGUCACAGUCUUGUGAUCCCGUAGGAUGCACAUUUCAGUCUAACACCCCGAAGGACGUACAUUUUAGUCUAGUGUUCUGCAGAAACACAUAUCAGUCUAAUGCUCCUGAAGGUGCAAAAUAAUUGGUGAUCCGUGGGACACCUACAAGGCACACAUCCCAAUAAAAGCUAACAAUUUUUCCCCUCAGUCCAUUCUAAACAUCUUAACAGUCAUUCACAGAUCAGUUAAACAUUCUCAUCACGUAAACUCCUUAUUUAACCUCAAACAGUCGUCUUACUCUAAUUUAGUCCAAGGUCAAUAAAAAAACAUAUCAUUACAUCAGUUAACAAACUAAACAAUCAUAACCUCCUCCUCAGUCACCAAGGGCACCACCAUGACGUUUCUUCCGUUCACAAGCACACAACAUAACAGUAGAUUAUACACUCAGUCUAGACAACAAUCAAUCUACUAAUCAAAUCCACACUUUAUAUAAGCAACAUCUACGAGAUUCAGUCUUUUCCACAUCCUUAUCUUUGUACACAUACAUAACCAGACAGUCACAACAUAUACUCAACCACAGUCUACAUCAAUCCAUGCACAUAUAUGUAUUAAUUUCUCACAGUCAAACAUAGCAAACAUUAAACUUUAAGUCAAUGCCCAAACAUACAUCAUAACAGUCAUCUCUACUCAGUUCAAAUAUAAUAAUACGGUCCAUACAGUCAAUACAUCUUAAUAAGUCAUUAUAUCUUAAUUUUGUUGUUGAGUCUAGUAGAAAAUCUCUUACUUUCAAGUUAGUUAAGCUCCUUAACCACGUUGAAGUCUACGAAGAACGAACCUAAACAUUAAGACAAUUUCUCAAUAAUUCUCUUCAAGGCAUCAAUCAUUUAAAUUCAACCCAAUGUGAUUUAUUUUUUACAACUUACCCAAAUCUUCACGAAACGAGUUCCAAUUAGAAUCAAUUGUUUGCUGUGAACCCAAGGAAUUCGAGCGUUACCUUCAACCUAUAAUCGAACAAGUAAACGAUUUAUCCAACCAAUUAAUCCAGCAAUAUUACUUGAGUUUAUUUUGGAAACAGUUACAAAUUUCAUAACUUCAAUCUUACCAAUCAAAAUUUAAUGACUCGUGGCAAAGCAGGAACGACAGCGAACAACCCAAUCGAAUGGCGUGGGUUUGCUACCUGCGGCAGAACGAAGAAGGAACUCGACGCGCAGAAAGUUGGAUCUGGGGUCUUUAGUUCGGUUCACGGUAGCGAAUGAAAACCUGAUUGCGCAGACGUCAAAGGUGUUAUUCGCGGAAGAAGUCGAGCAGCAGCUUUGUGAAGAGACGACGUGCGAGGAGAGACUGUAUACAGACGGACGGAGAGUCGCGCGACAGUGCAGAAAACGGAGGAGAAAGGAAUGGGCGGCGGCUGGGCUUGGCUUCGACGGAGACAGAGGCGAUUAGGACGGGGCACGGCGACGCAGAUCUGGACGACGGCGCGGAGACAGAGGUUGCGCGGCGCUGGGCAGAGGGUCACACGGCGCUGGGCGAAGGGUCACACGGCGCUGGGCGGAAGGUCACACGGCGGCCUUGCUUCGCGAACAGAGAUGGCGGUCGACGGUUGCAGCGGCGGCUGGGUAUGGUAGAAAAGAAAGAGAAACGGAAGAAGAAUAGGGGCGGCGACCGUGGAUUGGAGAAGAAAAGAAGGAGGAAAGCGAUGGUGGUCGGUUGGAGGGUGCGGCUGGAGGUAGGGAUCGGUGAAGGAGAAAAUAGAAAAAGAAAAUGAAGGGGAAAGGGGGGUUGGGCGCGAGAGGAAGAAGAAAGGAAAAAAAAUUCUGUUUUUUUUUUUUCUUUUAUUUAAAUUAAAUAAUAAAACUAAAAUAUAAAUAAAUAUAUAUAUAAUUAUAUUAUCACAUUUUCAAAUCUUCUUUCUCCCCCUUCAACAUAUUUUCUUCAAAAAAAUAAAUCUUGUACAAAUCGAAUAAUUUUCUUAAAAUAAAUUACCUUCGAGUUUGGGGCGUUACAAUGACAGCUAUAUUGUAACUUGGCACUUGGGGACUUUAAUGGUGUCAAUAUUGUAACUUCUGGUGCCAUGACAAAUAUUGGUGACUGUCAAGAUAAGUUCGCAUAGCCACCGAAAGAUACAUCGUUGCUUUUGAAAAAUGGCAAGACUCUAAAUGAUAUAUGCAACAUUAUUUUGGUUAUAUCCAAUCUUUUUUUAAGGCUAUGUACUUGAAGAUUUUAAUCAAUAAAUAAAAUGAAGUUUAAUUUUUAAAAUAAUAACAUUACAAUGGGAUGGCGAUUGGAAUUGAUUACUUUGGUUAAAAUUUAAGAUUAGAUUAAAAAAAUCAAUUAAUAGAUAAUUCCAUCUAAUCAAAAUAACUAAAUAAAAGACGAGAUUUGAAAAUAUAAUAUCCUAAUAUACACUAAUAGACUUAUAUUAAUAGAUAAUUUCCUGCCGAUGAAAAAUUACUAAAGUUGUACUAUAUUUUAUAAAUAUUUUAAAACAUUACAUAAACACUAAUUAAAGUUGGGUUUAGUAGCAAAAGGUUACAAAUUUAUUGACACCUUCUUUUAGGAAAAAAAAAUACCUUGACAUGAGGUAAACUAAAUUUGUAAUCAGCGUUGAAAUCUUUACUAUAUUAAAUGGGCUCGUGGAGAAAAAAUUAUAUACAUCUAUUUUAUUCUUAAAUUGUCGAAAAAAAAUUAUAUUACCUUUUGUGAUCUAACGUAGUUGUGAUUUUUAUAGUGUAAGUGUCCAUUUUAAUGUUUGGAAAGAUGAUUUUUCCAAUUUUUUAGUUUACAAAAUAAAGUUCUAUAUUUUAAAAAAUAAAACCUUAUGUUGAAUAUGUGUAACUAAUGUUGAUAGGAUGUGAUUGGUUGAUCUUCAAGAUACGAUGCAUUCUGUUUAGAGUGGAGAUGGUUGCACACACAUCAAAUUUGCGUUGAUUCCUCCAAAUUUACAUGUGAAAUGUAAAUGUAAAAGAAAAACAAAAUAAACUCUUGCAGUUACACAUUAAAAAAAAAAAACGUCACGAAAUUCCAAAGUUCAAAAGAAAACAAACACACACAGGGAUUUAAUUGAUUCAAAGUAGUAACGAAUGGUGAAAAAAUGCAUCAUUUCUUGUGAUUUCACAUUAACAUGUUAGAAUAAAAAAUUAUCGUAUUCUAUAUAUUACAAUAUUGGAUCAAAUAUUAAUACAUUAAUUUAAUUAUUUAAUUACUACAACAAUGAAUUUCUUUUUCUUUUUUAAAUAAUAAUUUUACCAUUAAUAUUAUAUAAUAUUUGUUUAUUAUAUGCUAAAGCAUAUUUAAAAAUUAAAUAGAAUUAAGAGAUUUCACGUGAAUUUAUGCACAUGUUUCAACUGAAAAGAUGGAAACAAUAGUCACAAAUUAUUUUUUCCUAAAACAAAACAUUCAUAACCAAAUCUAAAUAUGCACUUUCAUAACUAAGGACCAAAACUCAUAUUACGUAGAAUUGAGCAUGGUUUAAAUGAAAUUAUUAACAAAAUACUUACACUUUACACCAGGUUUUUUGGCAACAUACCACUAGUAGAAAAGUGGUAUACGAUGACAGUUAUUUACUGUCGUAAACGAAAUUCGCGACAGUUAUUUUCAGUAAUAGAAGCGGGAGUCAUGGAAAGUCCUUCGAUGAUAGUUUUUAAAAACUGUCGCAAUAAGUUAUUUUAUGACAUGAAAUAAAUGUCGUUAAUCAGAAUUCAAUGACGUCAAAUAACUGUCAUAUUUUAUUUUAUGACAACAAAUAACUAUCAUCAUUUGUGGAUUAACGACGGUUAAAUAAAUGUCGCAAAUUCAUUUAUUGUGACAUUUUUUAAUUGUCAUGAAUAUGUUAAUCGCGACAGUUUUUUUAUAUAAAAAUGUCAUUGUUUUGCUAUUGACGACAUUUUUUUCCUGUCACAUCUAGGGCAAUCGUGACAAUUUAUUUUAUUAAACAACUAUCAUCGUUUUCGGAUUGACAACAAUUAAUAACUGUCACAAAUUCAUUUAUUACGUCAUUUAUUUUCUGUUGCAAAUUUCUCAAUUUACUACAGUUUUUUCCUGUUCUCCUUGUCGCUCCACCAUUACACAAACCAUUUGAAUGACAAUAAUGUAGCUGAGAAUGACAAUUUUGAAUUUAUAAUAUUGACACCCAUAUAGAAAAAAGUAGCCAACACUUUAAUAUAUAUACGAUAUAAUACAAUUUAUAAUAUUUGUACAUUUCCAAUCAAGUGUCAACAAUUUACAAGUACGGAAUCCCAACCCUUAAUCAAAAAAUAUUUUAAAUAGCAUUAGAAUACAUCUAACAAGAUUUUCUGCAGAAGCAUAAACGACCAACCGAGAAUGUUCGUCUCUGAAAAUGUUCUUGGAAAGUAAACUUAUGAAGUUGUUGACUCCAGUUGAACCUACAAAGACAACAUGAAUAUAAGCAUCCAUCAUAGGACAAGAGAGUACAACUCUUAUAGAAACUUUCAACAUUGAACAUUACCUAUCACUACAUGCGUCGAUAAGAGAAACAACUACAUAGCAGAGCACAAAUGUAGAAUAACAGCAUCACCGUAACAUCCACUUGGUCUACAAUAUUGAAACUUUUUACAAAUUACAACUCUUGUAUCAUUGCUCUUUAGAAAAUUUACCUGGAUAUAAAUAAGUAAUCUACAAGGAAAUUAUUGAAUAAGUAAUCAUAAGUAAUAAUCGAGAUGAAUGAAACUUAAGAAUCCAUUAGUAGUUCACUGUCAAUAAGGUUGGAAGAAACGUUAUCCGAUAAGAACCGAAAAGUUUCCAUCUUAAGGAGUCAAACACUUUCAUCAGAAAUAAGACAGUUUUCAUGUGUAAUCCACUUCAGUUAACGAAGCCAAGAAAUAUUAAGGUACUAGGAAAAUGAAACUAGAACAACUUGUAUCAUUUAUGGCUUAACAGAAAUUAAAGGUCUCCUAGUUUCUUAUCCAAAAAAAGCUCUACCAAUGAGUAUGACAUAAAAUCCAUGACAAUUUACAAAAGUAGCAAUUUAGCAAUAGCAAUAAGUACAGACAUAACACCCAUGACAAUUUACACAAGUAGCAAUAGCCAACCAGUACAAGCAUACUAUCCAUGAUAAAAAAGAAAGGUAUCUAUUACUCUUAAUCCUAUAAUAUGAACGACAUUAACUAAGAAGGGACCAUUGACAUGUACCUGAUGUUCUAAUUCCAUGGAGAUCGAAGUCCCGAAUGAGCUUCCACAAGUUAACAUCCUACAAUACAAUACAUUUUAGUUAAAUCAUAUAGCAACUCAUUAAACAUAUAGAGAAGGACUUCCAACUGACAUUUGGAAAAGAGUUGGGUUGAUCAAUUUUUGUGGCAUGGGGAGCAAUGUUAUCUUGAGCAAAUUGUUUAACACUUUCUUUGAACUGCAAUCAGUUAAUCAAGAAUUUUGAUAUAUUGACAUUAUAAAUGAAACUACAUACAAAUCAUUUUUGUAAUAAACUAAUUUGAACCAUUUACUAUCAUUUAAAUAAAGCGAGAGAGAAAAGAGGAAGCCUUAAAAGCAAGAUUCUUAAUAUAUCCUCAUAAAAAAAAAAAAAAACUUGUUCAAGUGUCAAAGUCGACAAAAAAAAAAAAAAACUGCAACUGACAAAAACGAAAGAACUAUGAUUAUUUGAUGAUGUUUGGUUCAAUAAGUAGGAAUGUAGCUUGGAACCUUUUCUCAUUUUCUCCAACUGCCAGAACAUUCAAGACAUUUUUUAAAGAUUCACAACACUCUAUCACUUCACAUUUCAUGUACUCAUCUGCACAAAUGUGCUUCCAUAGGUCAUAAUCUCUGGAUUAAAAUUCAACAGCCAUAUCCAAUGCUAUUGGAAUAUGUAGCAGUAUAAAAAUUGUUAACAGUUGCUAUAAGUAUGCCUAAAAAUUUCAACAGCCAUAUCCAAUGCUAUUGGAAUCUGUAGCAGUAGAAAAAUUGUUAACAGUUGCUAUAAGUAUGCCUAAAAAUUUCAACAGCCAUAUCCAAUGCUAUUGGAAUCUGUAGCAGUAGAAAAAUUGUUAACAGUUGCUAUAAGUAUGCCUAAAAAUUAAAAGAAAACAUAAAGGGACUAUAUUGACCUUGCUGGCUAGUAAAAAGGGAGGCAUUUGGAUUAUUUUUAGGCUGGGAUAUGAGGAAUAAGGAACUAGCAAGAGAUCCAUCUCUCUGUUUCAUUUGAAAAUUUAGUUUAGUUUUAAAAUUAUAAUUGAAAGGAUGCUUGGAAUGAAGAAUUCUAAUUUUUAGGCAAGAGUUCUAAUAAACUCUAUGGGUGUAUCUCCUAAUCCUCCGUUUCUAACUUUAUUGUCUUUCCCAAGAGAUUUGACAAGAUAAUUUUAUCUGAUAUUGAAGAAAUUUCACCAAUUGUGGGCUGCAAAUAGUUCAAAUAGAACUAGUAUUGGAAUAUAUAGAAUAUACAAAAUACCCUAGCCCAUACGAAACAAAAGAACUCCAAGACAUAGAAGAAGCAAAAGUCAUUAAAAGAAAUGGAUGAAGUGCAAACAUACACAAGACAACUAGCAGUAACUACCACAAUAUGCUUAUGAACCAACAACUGAAGUAACCUAACUAAUAACAAAGUCAACCUAUCACAAAAGCACAAGUUUUCAUUUUUCAACCAAUAGAGGCAUGCCUGCAAAUAACCAUCAUCUUUUGUAGACUUUAGAAAGAUGUCUGACAAAGCAGACAAUAACUUGGAGAACAGGACUUAAGUAUAGUCCGGAAAUAUGAGACUACAUUUUUCAACUAAAAGGCUAAUUCCUUAAACAUCAUGUAAAUCAAGUCCCUUUGAAUUGCAUAAACAUGGCACCAACUCCAUUGCUGAAUGAAUAAAGCAUAAACUACCUUAAUAAAGCAUAAAUUUACCCAAAUGCAAUAUUGUGAAUUAAUUGCAACAUCUUUAGUGAACAUAAAGGGGCUAUAUUGACCUUGGGAAAGACAAUUUGAAUGAAUAAAUCAUAAACUACCUUAAUAAGUUUAUCAGAUGCAACGUAUCAUUUCGCUUCUUCAAGACUCAUCUCUGCAUUUAAGUUUAGAAUUAGAUGUUAGUGUGAGUAAUCAUACUUAGGAAAAGAGAAUAAAGCUUUUCAGCCUACUCGUGUCUUGACGUUCUAGAACUGAAUUCUACAUCUUGGAUACUGGAUUCACAAUAACACUAAAAUAUAUACAAUUGGAACUCAAUGUAGAAAUAACAUACAAGUCGAGGUGGAGAUAGCUUCAUGUUUUCAUCUUUGCAAGCAAAACGGAUAUUGGUAAGUUUUCUUUAGUUCUUACAAGAUUAACCUAGAAAAAAGAAAAUUGCUUAUCAUGUAAAUCAAGUAGAAAUUACAACUUCGAUCCAAAGUCUAAACAUAAAGUUCUCAACUUACAUCUAGAUUUGAUUCCCUAGAAUGUUCUCCAAUAAUCAUUCCAUCAUAAAUCUGGAACAUAAAUUAUCAGGAAAACUGAGCAGAACAUUUUCGAGGACCCAUAUAUUAUCUACAAUGAAAAGAUAAUGGAUCCUCAGUCUAAUGGAGACAACAAAAUAUACAUUUAGACCAACUCAUAGCAUAAAAGAUAAUAGGUCUAUGAAUCAAAUGAUUUUAGGGUAUCAAAAAUAGCUCCUAAACAAACGUAUAUAUAAUUGAACAUCCACGCUUCCUGCCUAUGAAAACAGGGAAACAAUUAAUUCACGAGAUUGAACAUUUUGAGAAACUUCUAUCCAAAAGGAGGAAAGAGGGGUGGAAAGUGUACACUAAAAAACCAUUAUGCACCAUAUAGAUGAAUUGACAUGACUUAGCUACAAAUACUUGUGCAAACUGCAAAAUGACAGCAACUAGCACAAUAAAAACAAAUCAAACAAUUUUCUAAAUGGUGAAUUGCCAAUUGCCAAACUAAACUUCAUUACAACAAGUCUAAUAUACUAAGUUAAAAAUAGGCUUCAGUGUGUGUAACAAUCAGAUCAUAGAACACACUCGCACAAUGCAAAAGAAAAAGAAAAAAACUUUUAAAGCUUCAGACACAUAUCGUCAAACACCUUACAAGCACAAACUAAUAUCAUAUUUUCUCAUAAUCUCACAAAAAAAAAAUCUUGUUUAAGUUUCAAGAUAAAAUUGAUUGAUGAUGUUCUUUUUUAGAAGAUUUCAAGAAAUAAAUAAGAGAAUACUUCAACUUUUCUGCAUGAUUCCAAAAUCCUAUCAAUCAAGAAAUCUUGUUGUAAUCCCAACAAGAAAAACUUAUGUUCUUCCUCCGUCCACAGUACAACAAGAUAAAACCUAACGAAAAUCCUAAAUGUAUUAAGUGAAAAUCCCCACAAAUUAUCAGUCAUUUACACAACUACUCCAAAUCAUAUCUUAAAAUCACUAGAUAAGCACCAAUUCAAAGAAAAAUGGAGAAAAUCAAACCUUGCUAGCAUGUAGACGUUUUUGUUAAAUAUUGAAUCCUGAAAAACCAUUCUCAGCACACUAAGAAACAUUCAUAGAAACAUAAGAUGUGACAAUCAAGACCAAGGCAGAGUUGGAGUUCAUAAAAAUUUAAUAGUUUUUUUUUUUUUAGGAAUUUCAUCAAACACAUGGUGGGUAAAUUCAAAGUUGUUCAGGCCAUAAGAACAUCCCAAUAGCAAAUGCUCUUUUCCCUUAAGGGUACCAUCAAAACAGAGUCCAUAUUGUUUUAGAAGCAAAUUCAACUUACCUUCCCCCAUUUUCUCAUAAUCCCUCUUCGUGUACUUAGGAUAAUGAAGCAACAUUUGAACACCCACCUUCAAAAUUCAAACUUCCACCAUGAAAAAAAGAAAAAAAACUCACCCCUCCUUCUUCUUCUGACUUGGGUAAGAAGAAGAGGGGUAGUUGAAACUCAUGUAUAAAGACAUUGGAUUGUUGGAAUGUUUAUGAAAGGAAAAUACACAAUAUUCACAAAGAGAGAGACAAAGAGAGAAGGAAUGGCAGCGCCGGAGAAGACGAAAACGAUGGACACAUCGGAGCGAAUAGAUGGCCACGCCAGAGUGAACAGACGGCCAGGAGUAGGGGCGAAUGGUGACGAGGCCGGAAGAUGGUCGGAUUGGAGAUGGAAGACGAUCAGAUUGGAGAUGGAGAUUUCGCGGAAGAAUUGGGGAAAAUAAUAAGGGUUUACGAUUUGGGGAAAUAUUUUCUAAAUUUCUAAUCUUUAUUUAUUAUUUUUUUAAUAAAAAUAUAUUAUUUUAUGUUUUUUUCUAUGACAUCAAAUAACUGUCGCGGAAUGUAUUAUCCGAAAAAUUCCGUCUUUUCCCGCCAAAAACGCGAAAUUUUACAUUUUGUGACAGUUCUUUUUUCUCUCUCUCAUUUUCUGAUAUACAUAACUGUCAUAGUAGACAGUUUUUCUUCUAGUGUACAUAGUGAGAAAAUUCAAAAUUUACCCUCUUACUUGUAUCUUUUCAAUAAAAAGUGCAUCUUAGUUGUAAUUAUGUCAAAAUAAAAAAUAAAAAAAUAACUCGUCAGUUAACGUGGUUAUCCAUUAACUGAUUUGGGUGAACUUUCUAAAGAUAAAAAUAACAAAAACAAACAAACAAAAGACUAGAACAUGUUAUUUAAUUAUGUAAUUACAACUUCCCUUUCUCCUCCGUGAGAAAAAAAACCAUUUCUCUAAAUUUCAUCUAUAUAUGUGUAUUGAUCAAAUGACCCAUAUCAAUAAGGACACAAAAUUGGCAAAGAACAAAUAAAUUAAAAUGGCCAAUAACUCUUGUUUCAUUACUUUCUCUCUCAUUGGAGUUCUUUUGUUCACCAUCAUUUCAAAUGUGGCAUCAUCUAACGACGUUGUUUCUACCAUCUGUUCAGAAAUCUCAAAUCCACAAUUUUGUUUAAGUGUGUUGAAAUCUGCAGGCACUACAGAUCUAAAAGGCUUGGCUGUAUACACCUUAAACCUUGCUCAUUCAAAUGCUGGCAAAUCUUUGAUCCUAGCCAACUCACUAGCAAAAGCCACCACCAAUCCUCAACUUAAGCAACGAUAUUCAUUUUGUGCUGAGAGCUAUGAUGAAGUUGUUGGUGACAUUGAAAAUGCUCAAAACGACUUGGCACUUGGGGACUUUAUUGGUGUCAUUAUUGUAACUACUGGUGCCAUGACAACUCUUGGUGAUCACUGUCAGAAUAAGCUCUUGCAGCCGCCGAAGGAUACAUCGUUGCUUUUAAAGAAUAGCAACACUCUAGAUGAUAUAUUUAGCAUUAUUAUGGUUAUAUCCGAUCAUCUUUGAGGGUUAUGUACUUGAACAUUUUGAUCAAUAAAUAAACUGAAGUUUAAUUUUUAAAAUAAUAUUACAAUGUGAUGGUGAUUGGAAUUGAUUACUUACUUUGAUUAAACUUGAGAAGAUAAAGAAAAUCAAUUAAUAGAAACGUUCACCGACACACAUUGUCAGCACGUCGGAGAAAGCCUAAACUUUUUUUUCUUUUCUUUUACGUUCUGUUUUCUUUUCUUUGUUUGCCAUCAUCAUCAUCAUCAUCUUCUUCUUCUAGCUUGUUACGUUAUGUUUCAAUUGCAUACUUCUGUUAUUCUUGUAAUUUCUUCGUGGUUUUCUUUUUAACUUUGUGUUUCAGUGUGGAUUCAUAAACACAUUUUUCGGUGCUCUGGAUUCUGGAUCUGUUAUGAUUUGAAAGGGUACAGUGAAGUGAAAAGUUGAAAUGGAAAAGAAAAAAGAAGAAAUGAGGACACUUCUCAUGGUGGUGGCAGCAAAGACGAACGGCGACGACAACACAACUCUCAUCCUCUCCCUAUAUCUUGAUCGAUUUUGGGUUUAUUUUCGUUUUGCAUUCUGUUAUGUGUGGAAGGGAGAAUAAAUAGUGUGGACUUUCCCCGACGUCUUCGAAAACGUUGGGAAAUUUACCUUUCGUCGACGUAUGUAGUAAACACGUCGGAGAAAGUUUAAAUAAUAAAUUCAUUAUUUAAACUUUUCCCGACGUACUCCUGUCAUACGAGUCUAAAUUAAAUUUAAUGCGUUCACCUUCGGCGAUGUGUGUCAAGGUGACGUUGGAAAAAGUUUAAACACUAAUGCAAUUAUUUUAAAUCACAUAUGUUAUCGCUUAUAAGGCAUAGGAGUCUAUUAACGAUAGAAACCUAUCUUGAUAGGUUUUGCUACAUUUACCAUUUUUAAAAAACAUUCUUAUAUACUUAACUAUUAUUCCUAAAAUUGCUAACCCAUUAUACUUUCCCUAAGUUAAAUGUAUAAUGUCAAAAGUAAGUUUACUACGAAGGUAAUCUAUGUGACCCUUUUAUCCUAACGUAGGAAGUUUGUUCCACUCCAUACCAUUAUUGAACUAAAAGGAUUAAGUGUGUAUUAAUAUGUUUAAACAAGUAUAAUUAUAGCAAAAUCUAUAAGUGAUAUAUUGAUAUUAGCAAUACAAUACGCGUCACAUAUGCAAACAUUUUGUGUCUAAUCGUUGUAUUUACAAUUAACUCCAUUAAAAUAUUACAAAUAGAAAUAGAACUCUUUAACCUAAGUUCAGUUAGGAUCACAAACUACGAAACGAAAGCAUGGAACAAAUUUAAUUUGUUUUUUUUUCUUUAAAGGAAAUUUUGUGCGUAGCACAUUAUAUUUUUUUCUUUCCUUUAAAAAACAUUAUUGAUCUUAUGAUAUUUGGCAGAGAUUGUAGUUUUUUAAGAAUGUAAAUAAUGUAAAUAAUGUGCCAAAUAAUUGAAAACAUGUUAUCCGAAACAGAGAAUGGUUAAGAAAUUGUUGACAUUUAGUCAAAUUAAUAAAUAAUUCAAAUUUAGGUUUGAUUUUUGAAUUUGAAACUAUAGUAAAUUAGAAGUGUUUUGAAACAGUGUUUACGAAAAGAUUUUUAAUUUUAAACAGCAUUAUAGUGCGUAAACAUUUUUAAUUUUAAACAGCAUUAUAGUGCGUAAACAUUUUUAAUUUUAAACAGCAUUAUAGUAGCUAUAGAUACCAUAUAAUAGUCUACACAAUCUUUGUUCCAAAUGAUCAAUUCGAUUUUUUAAAUCAAGUCUAAUGUUUUUUUUUUUUUUUUUUGCCUAUUUCUUACCAUAAUUUACAUUUUUUGUAAGUAUAAUGGUUGAGUGCAAAAAGAGAGUUGACUAGUAAGUGCAAAAAGAGAGCUUACAAGCUUCUGCAAAAGCUAAUCAAGCAACCUAAAUCAUAAACGAGGAGAAAAGUUGAUUGAUUAAGCUUUGUUGUGGUAAAGAAGAAGUCAAAGUGAACAUCGAACGUUCUUCACUCUUAAAGAACAUCGCGAACAGAUAGAUUAUAUAUACUUUUCUGGAAUUGACCCAAAAAAUUCAGUCCCAAUGUAUUUUAUGGUGAGAUGCAUAGUUUAACUAAACCGUGUUAUUACAAAAUUUUCAAUUACUAGGAACUCUUAAUGAAACGAAUACAUUAUUUUUAUAAUUACGAGGUAAAAUGGAAAUAUACAAACUACUAAAAAAAGCUGCAAAUCCAUUAUUGGGAUUCAAUCUACUCUCCAAGCAUGUUCUUGAAAUGAGAGUUUUUAAGCAGCUACAACUUGCUUAUGUGUAAAAGCAAAACCCUUUUCAACGCCUGCCUUCAGUUUUGGCUUUAGAGCUUCAAGUGCUUUUUGCCCCUACUCAGAUAAACCCUGAAGAUCAAAUGUUACAAAGGCUUCAAUUCCACAUGCAAAAAUCAUGUUCAUGAACCAAAAGCACCUUAAGCUUCUCUUCGAUAUCUUUGAGCUCACUGUAUAAAGAACUGAUUUCUAAAGCAAUCAUCUCUACUAUAUCCUCAUCGUUCCCACUCUCUUUUAAUAAGGCUGGCAUGAUAAUCACAACAAAGAAGAAAAAACUAAGAUAAAUUUAACAAAUUUUAUGUUGGGAAACUUUUUUAAGAACAACUACUUAUAAGCCAACCUUAGCUUUGGCCUCACAUUCCUUGAAGUUUCUAAAAGUAGAUACCACCUGUCCGGGCAACCCACACCAACCAACCAAGAGUAAGUUAGUGUGAAAGACACUUAUUUAAGGAAGAAUAUGUAAAAGAGGUCAUUCAAACUGUUACACAUAAUAGUAUUGGAGGCAAAUAACCUUGCCAUAACUCAUCAAGUUCUGAUAUUGAUUGGGCUAGUUUUUGAUACUCUGUGGGGUUUGAGACAAUAUCUGGAUUGGCCAGCUUGACCUAAAUAAUAAUAUCGAUAGUGAUUAUUGUGUAGGAAAAUAUUAAAGCUAUAACUAAAUGAAAAGCAUAAUUAGAAAUACAUCAAAGAUGUAAAUGCAAAUUUCAAAAGUGGAUCUACAGAAUGUAAGGGGAAGAAACUCAAAUACAAUUACUUUAUUAGUUAUACGACUACUAUAGAGAUUCUAGAUACACCACAGUUCCACGUCCUCUUUUAGGAGGAAAGCAAUGGUGAAAAAUUAAUUGUGAAAACUAAAGAAGGUCCUAUUUAAAUCCUAACUGCAAUAGGAAAGCAAGGAGUUAUAAGGUGAUCACUAUAGCCAAAUCCAAAAUGCAUUCAGUAUUUGUCUUCCAAUUUCAUUAUCAAGUGCAUAGACAAGGUCCCUAGUGAGGAAGUUAUUCGUUCUUUUCUUCAUUUUCUAUAGCUCUAGAAGUAGCUAAAUGGAAUCGUCAAUCACCUAAUCUAUUAAUUUUAAAACUCAAAAGUUCACCGCGGGAUUCUAGUCACUGCUGAAACAGCAUAGAGUUCACUAGUUCCACAGUUAAAUUAACUGCAAAUUGCAUUUCCUGGCAUUUUCAAGAAACAAAAAUGCACAAAUCAUAAUAUGAUGAAGCAGAAAAAUUCUGUGAGCUCGACUUUUCCAGGACAUAUCUUAGCUACUUCUCCUAUUCUAGCUCGAUAACCAUUGUACUUCAACAACCGAAACAUUAAUCCAAUAGUUAACAAUGUUCUGCACUUUAUGCCCUUACAUUUCCAACGACUUAAUGCAUACAUCAGUAGUUAACACAGACACGGGCUCUUAAAUUCAAUGCAAAAUAACAGUCCCAUUCCAAGCAUAAACACCAGAUACAAACAAUUGAUGGACUUGAAUCAGUAAAGAAAUAAGAAUGUUAUUUAACAGCAAAGCACAAAUUAUCGAUAAUUUUUCCACGUCUUCUCAGCAGAUUCCAGUUUCACGAUCAAAUAAGGUUCCUAAAAUAAAGCAAUCACCAUCAUCAUUUUCCACAAAUAUGAUCCGAACUAGUUUUACCACAAAUUAAUUUCUAAUAACUUGAAGAAAAACUCAGUGAACUCAAAGCAUAACGAAACUUAAGUUCUGUUAAAGCCAAUCUAAACAAUAAGAUAUAGACAUAUUGUGUUCUCGAAAGAAAAACAUUUAAUAAAUCUAACAGCUAUGCAAAUAGAGUUGAAGCUCUAACGGGAGGUGCAUAGCAUUUAAGUUCCAGAGAGCAUCUUCUGAAAGCGAUGAGCCCAUAAGAUGAAAAAAGGGCCUCAAGUGAGGAAGAAAGACGCCAUCCAAACAUGAAAAAAGGAAGAAAGGCAAGAUUUUGGCAGUUCCAGGCCUGAGGGAAGCGAACAAGGUGGCGAGGGAGGCAAGGCCCCAAAAUUUAGCAUUGCCAACAAAGUGAAGGUGGAGAAGGAUCUUUCCUUUUAACGUGGCCCUCCGAGAGUUUAUGGACGCCCCCAAUUGGGGCGUUUGGAUGGAGUAAGUUCUUCAAGGGACUUCCUAGAUUCUGUGGAGGUUGUCAAGAAAUUCUACGCAUCAGAUUACAACCACUACAAGGAAUUCGGAUCAACAAACGCAAUUUAACACUAUUGGGAGAUAGAGUAUCUCCCGACACUAUCUCCCGACACAAUAAUAUGAGCAUCGUGAGAUAUAGUGUCUCUCGACACCUAACAUCUACGUCAGAUGUUAUUUACAAUCUCCCGAUGUUGUGUUGUGAGGCAUCAGGAGAUAGAGGCUAACUCUCGACGACAGUAGAAAAGAAAUGAGAGUUGUAGAGUAACUAUCAAAGCUGCUAAUAAAGGGAUGAUAGUUAGGGGAACUCCCGAUGCAUAUCGAGUUGGAUCGUGAGUUUGCAUUUAAAAUCCCCCCUCGAUUUAUAUUUCACAGAUCUGCCAAGAAGGGAAAAGUGAAAUCUGAAGAGAACUACGCCACUGUCGUCCUUGUUGUCUACCCUGGUGCCACUCCCGUCCUACAGUGUCGAUGCUCUACCUUUAAAUUUUGCCCUAAACUCUUUGUUCUCUAGAAUUCUUUAUGUCCUAAGAUCGGUUAUGUUCUUGUUUUUCAUGUGUGUCCUAAAAUCCUUUUGUGUCAUAAGCUAGAUUUAAAUUUUCGUCUAAAAUCCUUUGUUUUUCAUGUGUCCUAAGAGAUUCUCCUAUACUGGUCGUCGGCUCCUCUGCAUAGCCAUAUAGUCUUUUGGAUUUAUUUAGGCUUGGCCUUCUUUCACCUAGUAGGGUGGGUUUACUGUAAAAGCUUCUAAGGUCAGUUCUAGAGGGUUUUUUAGCAGUCUUGAAAUUCCCGAAGGCUAUAGAAAGCAUUUCUUGAAAUUUAAAACUGAAAUUUUGAGGUAAGCAAGUUAAGACAAUUUUAAGAAAAUUUGUAGAAAUAACUUUUCCAUUUUAAUGGCUGGAUUAAAGGUUAUAAGCAUUGAAAGUUGAAUGAAGUUUCUGGAAUUCUCACAGUUUCUGGGCAAGCUUAAGGUAGUCGAGCAUCACGCAGUGAAAGGGUUGGUUAAGAGUGCAUUGUUCAGGUAAGGGGAGGUUAUUUCAAUCAGAUUGAGGGUGCACGACACGGUCAAGGCACAGUCGAGCGACAUGGUUGCGCUCAAGUUGUGCACAUGGCCAUGAAUACCUUGUAAAGUGGAAGAACCUUCCUGUAGAAGAAACCAGAUGAGAACGUGUUAAAGAUCUUGAAGCCUAUAUGUAGAAGAUCGAAGAGCUCAAGUUUUGCCAGUGGACAGAAACACCAACUGUUUAAGUAGGGGAGAAUGUCACGAGCAUGCUUGUUUAGAGCGUUGUUUGCCUAUGGCCGCAUGCCUAAAUACCCCAAAAUCAUCUUGUCUUUAUGUCCUAUGCUUAGUUUAGUCUAUUGCUUUCCUUUUCAUGUCAUAGACCUAGGAUGUGACAUUGCACUCAUUUUCAUAUGCAAGCCAUUCAAAUCUAAAAAAGGCUAAAAUGUACUACAAGAGAGACCAAGUAGUUGAAUCCCAGACCAAGUCUUGUCAUACUCUUUGCAAUUGAGAGUCUUCAAUGCUUUCUCUAAUGACGUUUUCAAUGAUUUUCUUUCUCUCACGUUCUAUAAAACAAUUUUCUCAAGAACGUGAAGAGAGGUACAUUAUACCAUGAGUUUCUCUACAAUUUUUGUAUUUUACACGGCUGACUUGUUGACGAGCAGAACAAGUGCCGCACAAUCGUUUGUCCCAUGUUUGAAAGAUUGCGAUUAUGACAAGUGGUAUCAGAGCCUAAGUUGACUAAUUGACGGUUAAGACGUGAACAUGUCCACAACAAAACAGGUGCUCUACUUAAGUAAACAUGGCUUAUUGGCCCAUGCAGGUUGAUUGGUAGAGCUUGAAGAGCAGAUGCUCUACCUAGUGGAAGUUCCUGACUCCAUCCGUUUCUUUGGAAACCCGUCUUGAAGAAAUUUCUCAGAAAGUUGUUGCUAUUAAUGCGGAAACUGGUCGUCUUGACAAAAUACCCAUUCAAGAGUUGUUGACAAGAGUUGACACUCUAGAGACAAAAGUUGUAAGAACUGGAAACUACGAGCGUGGAGACAGUUCGAUGACCUUUGUUGCCCAUAUAGAAGAAUGCAUGGUUGUGCUGGAUAGCUUUCAGAAGAUGAUUAUGGAAAUUAUUGAAAAGAGAGACAACGAGUUCACACCAAUUUACGUGGAAACCCGAGUACCGGGAGAAAAACCACGAUUGUUUGUGUUGUUAUUAUUUUCUAAUGAAUAAAACAAUAGGUAUAGGGAAGAAUAAAUAGAGUACACAAUGGAAUAAAAAAGGAAAAGAUUUAGGAAAAUAAGGAAUACAUUCCCAUAAUCUUUCCAUAAUUAUUCUAGGAUUCUAACAAGGAAAAAGCCUAGAGAAAAGGAAAGAAUUCCAACACUCCCCCUCAAGUUGGGACGUAAAUAUCAAUGAGGCCCAACUUGCUAACGCAAAAGUCGAAGUUUGGUCUGAGAAGCCCUUUGGUAAGAACAUCAACAACCUGUUGACUUGAAGGGAUGUACGGAAUGCAUAUGCUCCCACUGUCAAGUUUUUCUUUGAUAAAAUGUCGAUCAAUCUCAACAUGUUUAGUUCUAUCAUGUUGAACAGGGUUGUUAGCAAUACUAAUAGCGGCUUUAUUAUCACAGAAAAGCUUCAAUGGUGUCUCACAUUCCUGAUGAAGAUCUGUCAAAACUUUCUGAAGCCAAAUUUCCUCACAUAUUCCUAAACUCAUAGCUCUGUAUUCAGCCUCAGCGCUGCUCCUGGCAACAACACUUUGCUUCUUACUCCUCCAAGUUACAAGAUUGCCCCAAACAAAGGUACAAUAACCAGAGGUAGAUUUUCUGUCAACAACAGAUCCUGCCCAAUCCGAGUCAGUGUAUGCCUCAAUGGUCUUUCUGUCUGUUUUUCUAAACAUCAGCCCUUUACCAGGUGUUGAUUUUAAGUAUCUCAAGAUUCUGUUGACAGCUUUCAUGUGUUCCUCAUUAGGGGUCUGCAUAAACUGGCUGACAACACUCACAGCAAAGGAAAUAUCAAGAGUAUGAGAUAAGUAAAUUAAUUUACCCACGAGGCGUUGAUACUGUUCUUUAUCAACUGGAACUUGAUCAUAAGAGUUUCCUAGUUUAUAGUUGAAUUCAAUAGGAGUGUCAGUGGGACGACAUCCUAACAUACAUGUCUCGGUUAACAAAUCAAGGAUGUAUUUUCUUUGAGAUACGGAGAUACCUUCUUUAGAUCUGGCCACCUCCAUUCCAAGGAAAUAUUUCAAAUUUCCCAAAUCCUUGAUUUCGAACUCAUCACCCAUUCUCUGCUUUAGUUGACCGAUUUCUGUCUGAUCAUCUCCAGUCAAAACAAUGUCAUCCACAUAAACUAUUAGAACAACAAUCUUUCCUGUUUUGGAAACCUUUGUAAAUAAAGUAUGAUCAGAGUGUCCCUGCCUAUACCCUUGGGACUUGACAAAGGUAGUGAAUCUGUCAAACCAUGCUCUGGGAGACUGUUUCAGACCAUAUAUAGAUUUCUAGAGUUGACACACAUGCUGACCAAACUGGGCUUCAAAUCCAGGCGGAGGGCUCAUGUAGACUUCCUUUACGAGGUCUCCAUUCAAAAAGGCAUUCUUAACAUCCAGCUGAUAUAGAGGCCAAUCUUUGUUCACAGCAACAGAUAACAGAACUCUAAUAGUAUUCAAUUUAGCAACUGGAGAGAAAGUUUCUGAAUAGUCAAUACCAUAGGUUUAAGUAAAUCCCUUCGCAACUAAGCUUGCCUUGUGUCUGUCGAGAGUACCAUUAGCUUUGUAUUAUAGAGAGAACACCCAUUUGCAUCCCACAGUUUUGUGUCCCUUAGGUAGAGUACAAAAGUCCCAAGUACUAUUCUUUUCAAGAGCUUUCAUCUCUUCCAUGACAGCAUUCUUCCAUUCAGGACACUUUAAAGCAGUGUAGAUAUCUUUUGGUAUUAUGGUAGAGUGAAGGCUUGCUGUAAAAGCUCUGAACUGAGGAGAGAGAUUAUCGUAGGAAACAUAAUUGCAAAUGGGGUGUUUAGUACAAGACCUGGUCCCUUUUCUCAGAGUAAUGGGAAUGUCAAGAGAGGAAUCAUACUCAUCCGAUUUUCCUGUAUGACCAUGUUCCGCUUCAUUAUUACGGGUUUCUAUUCUGACCUCAAUCUCAUCACCACUGUCCUUUUCUUCCACGUUUUUAAGAAUAGCAACAUUAGACCUAUCAUUCUCACUUAUCAUAUUCUUAGUACAGGGUUCAAUAGGGUUUUCCAUACCUUGAUCUCGAGGAGGUUCAGAGUCUUGGACUGGAGCCGGCGACUGACUAGUAGGGGAACCGAUUUCCUUUUUGUGAUUCCUCCUGUAAUAUGUUUUCCAGGGGACUUGGUUUGUGGGUAGGACUAUGGAAUGAGGAUUGAUGUUAGACAUGACACUAGGAGUGGGUUCGAUGAAUUCAAAGGUGUUGUUAGACUCUUCACUCACACUCUCCCCCUGAAGAUGGCUAACGGGAAAGUAGGGUCGAUCCUCAUAGAAAGUAACAUCCAUAGUGACAAAGUAUUUUCUGGAUGGCGGGUGAAAACAUUUAUAACCACGCUGGUGAGGGGGAUACCCAACAAACACACAUGCCUGAGCCCGAGGGGUAAAUUUGGUUUGAUUAGGGCCAAAAUUAUGGACAUAAGCGAUACACCCAAACACACGAAGAGGAACCUCAGAAACAUGAUGAGUCGAUGGGUAGGACUUCUUAAGACAAUAUAAGGGAGUUUGAAGAUGAAGAAUACGAGAAGACAUUCUAUUGAUUAAAUGAGUUGCUGUAAGAAUAGCAUCUCCCCACAAGUAUGAAGGAAGGGAAGUAGAAAGCAUAAGGGAACGGGCUACUUCCAGAAGGUGAUGGUUUUUCGCUCGGCCACUCCAUUUUGUUGAGGAGUGUAGGCGCACGAGUUUUGAUGAACAAUCCCCUUAGAAGCAAGAAAUUCACUAAGGUUAUGGUUUUGGAAUUCCCGACCAUUAUCACUCCGAAGAAUAGCAAUUUUUUGAUGGAAUUGUGUUUCAAUGGUGUGAUAGAAAUUUUGAAACAUAGAGGAAACCUCAGAUUUAUCAGUGAUAAGGUAGACCCAGGUAAGACGGGUAUGAUCAUCAAUGAAGGUUAUGAACCACCGUUUUUCAGAUGAGGUUGUUAUCUUGGAUGGUCCCCAGACAUCACUAUGAACAAGAGUGAAGGGUUGGGUUGGUUUGUAUGGUUGUGAGGGAAAAGAGACUCAAUGUUGUUUGGCCUGAAUACACACAUCACAAGAUAAGGUAGUCAUCUCAACUUUAGAGAAGAGAUGUAGAAAUAAAUGUUUCAUAUAUUGAAAAUUAGGGUGGCCUAAACGAAAAUGCCACAACAUACAAUCUUGUUCAGAAGUAGUGAAAUAGGAAGAUAAGAGACUAGUCCUAGGAAUGCUACUAGAAGAGGUAUUGUCAUCAAGGAGGUACAGUCCCCUACUAUGCCGGGCAGUGCCAAUCAUUCUCCCCGAGCUCAAGUCCUGAAAAGAGACAGAAUCAGGUAAGAAUAUUGCUUUGCAGUUUAACUCAUGAGUGAUCUUGCUUAUCGAAAGCAAAUUAUAAGAUAGUUUGGGCACAUGCAAAACAUUAUGUAAGGAGAGCCCUGCACAAGGAGAAAUCUUCCCCUUUCCAGCAAUGGGGGCCAAGGAGCCAUCUGCAAUUCUAAUUGUCUCGUUCCCGACACAAGGAAUGUAAGAUACAAAAUGUUCAGAGGACCCAGUCAAAUGAUCUGUGGCACCAGAAUCCAGAAUCUAGGGGUUCUUCCCAUCAAUACUAACAAGACCGAAGGAGUGAGGUAUACCCGAUUGGACAGUGGCACCUAAAGUGGCAAGACUGAGAUCAGUUUGGUUUUUGUGUGGAUCGGAUUGUUGAGGAGGUUCAGCAGACUCACUCACAUACGCUCGCCCUGUGUUCUGUUUGUCGUUGGAAGGGUGUUUCUUACCUCCAGGGGACGACCAUGUAACUUCCAACAUUGUUCUUUGGUAUGCCAUUGUUUUUUGCAAUGCUCGCAGACAGGAAUUGGUUUUCCAUUAUGCUUGUCACUGAUACUGUUAUAAGAUCUUGCACUAAAAGCAGCAGAGUCAAUAGUAGGGGUUGCGGAAAUAUUCAUAGCACUUGUGCGAUCUUCCUCAAGGCGGAUUUCAGAGCAAACUUCCAUCAGGGAGGGAAUCGGUCUUUGACCUAGUAUACGCCCUCGAACUAUAUCAAACUUAGGAUUAAGACUAGUAAGAAAGUCAUAAAUCCUGUCAUUCUCUUCAAUUCUUGAGUACUGUACACCAUCAGUGGGAUCACGCUAGACUAGUUCUCUGCAUAGGUCCAUUUCUUGCCAUAUAAGAGAGUUUAUUGAAAAAGGAUGUGACAUCCAUGGUUCCUUACUUGCAUUCAUGAACUUGCUUUCUCAGCGUGUAUAGACGAGAGGCAUUCUGACGUUUUGAGUAAAGUGUAUGGGCUGUGUCCCAAAUAUCCUUGGCUGUUGCAGCAAACAAUAACGGCUUGCCAAUUUGAGGUUCCAUACUAUUGAUCAAUAUGGAUCGAAGAAUAGAGUCUUCUGCCUUCCAAUAUCGUUCAUGUGGGUCGCCUGGUAGGGGGCGAGGUAUUUCCCCUGUCAAAAAGAUAAAUUUUUGUCGUCCUUCGAGGACCAUCUUUAUUGACUGAGACCAUGAGAAAUAGUUGUUGCCAUUCAACUUUUCUCCUGAAAGAUGAUACAUGGAAGACUGAGCCACCGUGUUAGUCACAUAAGGAGAGGAUACAUUAGGGAACGAGUUUACCGAAUUCUCAGAAUACAGCGGUAGAGUGGAUGUCGUCCCUAAGGUAGCCUCAAGUGCUGUUAUCUGUUGUCGAAGCCCUUCCAAUGUUGGGGGAUGAACUAUUCCCGAGGAAGCUUGCACGUUACGGUUGGAAUAUGCCGAAGAUUCACCAACCUCAAAUGUUGAGUGAAUUUGAGAGUUUUUAACAUCAGGAUGGUAGCUAGGAUCAUUGGGUGGCUGGCCAUACAGAUUUGACGGCAGAAGCGGUGGAAGCCGAUUGUAAUUAGAUGGCAGAACAUAAAUCGGGGCGUGGGAAGCAAUAUAGGUCGCGGACGAAGAAAAGGGUUGGAUAGAUGGAUGGUCGGCGCGUCUGAGGGAGAAAACCAGGCGCGUGUGGUCCGGUGGCAGCGCGGACGACUGCGGUAAUGACGAAAAAUUAUUUUCGGACGUUUUCUGUAGCCGGCUUAAUAAUUCGUCCAUGGCAGCACUCAUCCGAGCAUCGACGGCAGCAGCUACGGCAGCACUAAAAUUGAUGGCUGUCCCUUCUGUUUGAUUUUCAUCAGUGGUUUGGUUUUUUUGGGUUUCUAGGGUGUUUUCAUUGUCCCGCUCUAAUACCAUAUUGAAAAGAGAGACAACGAGUUCACACCAGUUUACGUGGAAACCCGAGUACGGGAGAAAAACCACGAUUGUUUGUUGUUAUUAUUUUCUAAUGAAUAAAACAAUAGGUACAAGGAGAAUAAAUAGAGUACACAAUGGAAUAAAAAAGGAAAAGAUUUAGGAAAAUAAGGAAUACAUUCCCAUAAUCUUUCCAUAAUUAUUCUAGGAUUCUAACAAGGAAAAAGCCUAGAAAAAAGGAAAGAAUUCCAACAGAAAAUGAUAAACGACAUGUCAGGAUUUUCGAGUUGCCCUCGAUGACGUUAGAAAUCGUUGAUGUAAGCACGAGGUGAACCUUACAAUGCGAGCGAUGGCAAACCAAGCUCAAGUUGGAGGAGUAAUCCCGAUGAGCAGAAUAAAGAUUCCUGAACCCUUCAUCUUUGAUUUUGAGCAAUACUUCAAGGUCACAAGCACAACCACAAAAGAAGCCAAAAUGGCAUUGGCGACUAUGCAGUCUUAGGAUGCCAAGUUAUGGUAGAGAUCCCAAUAUAUCGACAUUCAAGAAGAGUGUUACACAAUAGACACCUGGCACACUUUAAAGAAAGAACUCGGCUCACAGUUCUUUCCCAAGACUGUCGAAAUCUUAGCUUGGCGGAAAUUGGAUGAACUAAAACACAACGACAACAUUCGAGAGUAUGUGAAGCAAUUUGUUUGUUCUGUUUGGGAGUCUUUCCCUUUCCCUUCUUUUUAAUUUGAGCAUUAGGUUUUGAGGUCCAACUUUGGUUUUAGAGGAUGAUCCUCUUGUAAAUUUUCUUUUUGUGGUAGCAACAUUUGCUUCUACUUGUUUCCCUUUACCCAUAGUAAGGUUUUGGAAUCGCUGGAGUUCAUUCAGAAGGGUUGUCAGGUUAAAUUCUAUCUUGUUCAAAGACGCAUUCGUUUGGAAUGGAAUGAAGCUCUUCGGAAGAGACUCUAAGAUAAAGCUAACUUGAUUAACCUCUUCGAUGGACCACCAUUCACUUCAGCGAUGUUGAAGUGCAUCAUCAUGUCCAGAACAUGUUCUCUAACAGAGGUCCCUUCCUUCAUACGCUUAGUGUAAAUGUAUUUGACUGCCUCGUGUCUUAAGGACCAUUCUGGUUGCCCAAACAUUCCCCCUAAUGAAUCCAUAAUCUCUUUAGCCGUGGCUAAGGAUUCAUGUUUCUUUGCCAAUACAUCAGACAUGCUGGCAAGAAUGUAGACAUGGAAGGCGCCAGAAGGCGCAGUGAGCCACACAAAAGGGACCGAAACGAAUGUUCGAAAAUAUCAGAAGGAUCGAAGAAAGAUGGAAGGAAAGACGAGGAAAACAACAUACCAGAGCAAGUUCAAGACGGUAGAGAUGUCGGUCUUCAAUGGAAUAGACCUUGAUUCAUGGUUAUUUCGCGUUGAUCGUUAUUUCAAGAUACACGAGUUAACUGACUCAGAGAAGUUAAUGGUAGCGGUAAUCAGUUAUUAGGACCAGCUCUCGAUUGGUAUAGAUCAAAUGAUGAGUUGGGACGGUUCAAGAGUUGGGAUAUUUGAAGCAAAGGUUGUUGUCCGAUUUCAGACGAUUUGGGAUGGAACACUCCUAGGCCGAUUCUUAACGAUUAAGCAGGAAACGACAGUAGGGGAAUAUAGAAACCACUUUGAUAAAUAUUUAGCUCCGGUAGCCUUCCUCCAGACCAUAGUGUUAGAAGAAACCUUUAUGAAUGGGCUAAGCCCAUGGCAUAAAUCCGAAGUUAAAAUGUUGGAGCCCAUAGGUUUGGCCGAGAUGAUGAAACUAGCCCUGAAAAUUGAAAAUAGAGAGAUGGUUCAUCGAGAAUGUGGGCUUAUUAGUGUUUCUAGAAUGAAUAAACAAUUCAAACAUAAUAACGUGACGCAAACCUCGACAGUAACACCCAAUCAGAAACCCACGGAAAGGAGCUGGCCGAUGAGAACGAUUACGUUAAAAAAAGUGACGGCAGAUGAAAAGAGGAGGGAAGGUCCGACCAAGCGUCUUUCCAACGCUGAAUUUCAAGCACUGAGGGAAAAGGGUCUAUGCUUUCAGUGUGAGGAGAAGUAUCACGCUGGACACAGGUGUACGGUGAAGGAACAAAAGGAAUUACGGAUAUUAGUAGUAAAGGAAACGAGAGAAAACUGGAAAUCAUUGAGGAGGAAUACUUUGAUGUGGAAACGGAGGCCCAGACCAUUGAAAUUGAAAGAGUGGAGAAUAUGAUAUAGAACUUCCAUUAACUCAGUUGUGGGGUUAUCCAACCCUGGAACCAUGAAAGUGAAAGGGAAGAUAAAAGAGACCAAAGUGGUAAUACUCAUCGACAGCGGAGCCACCGACAAUUUUAUUGCAGAAAAUUUGUAACCACCCUUAGCCUACCAAUGACAGAAACGUCCAACUAUGAGAGUGAUUUUGGGAUCAAGGGUUGCGGUCAAAGGAAAAGGAAUCUGCAAUAAUGUUGAAGUGACGGUAGGAGAGUGGAAAAUUACAAACAGCUUUUUUCCCUUGGAAUUAGGAGGGUUGAUGUAAUUUUGGGUAUGCAUGGUUGCACUCAUUGGGCAUGACUGAAUUUGAUUGAAAAAUUUGGUGAUGACAUUCCGACAUGGAGGAAGGAAGAUAGAGAUAAAGGGGGACCCUAGUGUCACCAAAACCCAAGUGAGCCUAAAGUCUAUAAUUAAGACAUGGGGAGCUGAUAAUCACGGUUAUUUGGUAGAAUGUCGGGCCAUGGAGGGAAGGCUAGCUGAGGAAGGCUUAGAGGAUGAAGAAGUGCCAGCCACUGUUGACAACAUGAUCUCUCCUCUGUUGAGCAAAUUUAAUGAUGUUUUUGAUUGGUUGGAAGAGCUGCCUUCGAAGAGGAACAUUGAGCACCAUAUACCCCUUCAGAAGGGGGUGGAUCCAGUUAAUGUCAGACCUUAUCGUUACGCACAUCGGCAAAAGGAGGAAAUUGAAAGACUAGUUGAUGAAAUGUUGAAGACAGGCAUCAUAUGACCGGGUACCAGUCUGUAUUCCAGCCCAGUCCUUCUCGUGAAAAAGAAAGAGCUGGCAAUUUUGUGUAGAUUAUCGGGAGUUGAACAAUGUCACUAUCCCAGAUAAGUUCCCAAUUCCGGUCAUAGAUGAGUUAUUCAAUGAGCUGAAUGGGGCCAACAUGUUUUCGAAGAUUUAUUUAAAGGCGGGUUAUCACCAAAUCAGGAUGCAUCUGAGAGGUGUAGAGAAGACGGCCUUUCGAACACAUGAGGGACACUAUGAGUUCUUGGUCAUGCCGUUUGGGCUAACCAAUGCCCCUCUACGUUCCAAGCAUUAAUGAACCACUUCUUUAAGCCUUAUAUGAGAAGAUUGGUAUUAGUGUUUUUCGAUGACAUUUUGGUGUACAGUAGGGGAGUAGAAGAACAUGGACAACAUCUGGAAGUAGUCUUGGAGAUCCUUCGGAGAAUGAAUUGUAUGUGAAUUUAGCCAAAUGUUGCUUUGCCAAAAGUAGAAUAGGUUAUUUGCGGCAUUUCAUAUCCAAAAAGGUAACUAAAGUUGAUCCGGAAAAAAUAAGGGCAAUUAGGGAAUGGCCGAUUCCCAUUAGUGUGUGAGAAGUUCGAGGUUUCUUAGGACUCAAUUGAUACUAUAGGAAGUUUGUGCAAAAUUAUGGCAGUAUCGAAAGCCCUUUGACACAACUUUUGAAGAUAGGAACUUAUUAUUGGACUGAAGAAGCAAGUGCUGCCUUUGAGAAGUUGAAGAUGGCAAUGAUGACUCUACCGGUGUUAGCUAUGCUGGACUUUAAUCUACCACUCGAGAUAGAAACAUAUGCAUCUGGUUCUGGUGUGGGGGCCAUUUUAGUACAAGCCAAGAGACAAAUAGCCUUCUUUAGCAAAACCUUAUGCAUGAGGGAUAGAGCGCGACCGGUUUAUGAAAGAUAAUUGAUAGUAGUAGUGUUUGCGGUGCAAAGGUGGAGACCAUAUUUGUUAGGGAAGAAAUUUACAGUGAAAACUGAUCAGAAGUCGCUCAAAUUCUACUGGAACAAAUGGUGAUUCAACCCUAAUACCAGAAAUUAGAGGUUAGUUGAUUGAGAAAAGUGCAUGUGGGGAAGUCUUGACGCGAGGAAGGCUAGGCGUUGAAAGGUUAUGCGAGAAGACCAAGGAGGUUAGCUAUGCGUUUGGAUAGUAAAUGACAUGCUCUAAGCAAUUAAUUAAAAGUAAAUCUAGGUGUCUUAACCAUGUCAUCCUGCAUUUUGCAGCCAAGGAGGAUGUGAAGGAGUUGCUAAGGUGUAAACAAAAGCUUAAGAUGUGAGUCUAAUCAAGAUUAAGUGUCAACUUAAUUUCAUGCAAGGAACUCUAUAAAUAGGUCAACUUCAAGAAUGAAUUUCUCACAACUUACUUGUUCAAAAUUACUCAAAUUAGUCUUAAAAUUCCAGAAAUUGAAUUUAGUUUAUGAUAGAGGGUUGCUAUUAAAUUUGGAUUCAAGAAGAUUUGCGAUUGGAUCAAGAUAAGGUGAGAAGGUCAUUUUCUAGGAGAAUCUAAGCAAGUUGCAAUUUUAGAGGGCUAUGGAACUCAUUUCUUGGGAUUUUCCUUCAAAACUUUGAGGUAUGAAAAUUAAGUCAAUUUGGAGUAACUUUGUAGAAUGAAGUUUUAUAAAAAAAAAUUAUGAAUUUUAAGUUAUAAUUUUUCAAAGUUAUGUCAUUAUUCUUGAAGUAAAACAGUGUUCUGGAUAGUGUCUGAGAGGCUUGCAUGUGUAGGUGAGAUAGGCAUGUGUUUUGGUUUAGAAGUUAUUGUGGUCCAAUUGCACACACAUGAAAAGGCCAUGGCACAGUCGAGUGGCAAGGCAUGUGCUCAGGCUACACGCAUGACCCUUUUUUAGAGGUUAGCGUGGUAUGCACGGGGUGCGGAGAGCACCAAUGCUUGCAAAGCACAAGAUGGACGCACGAGAUAGGCGAAUAGCACAUGUGUGGCAACCCCAUUGCAAGGUUAGCACACGAUAUACACCCCAUCUUAGUAAGGUCAGCACACGACAGGUCCCGGGCCAUGCACGUGUGGCUAGAUCCAUUCACCAUGUCAGUGGAUACCGUUGGGUUAUUUUCGAACUAUUUUGGGUUACUUUGAUAUUUUUGGGAAUUUUAAAGGAACUUUUGGAUAUUCUCAUGUUUAAUAAAUUAAUUAAAGAUAAAAUAUGAAGUUUUCAGAACAAGGAGGAUUAGGAUAAAUUUUUGGCCAAUGAUCUGUACAAGUAUUGUGAGUAACACAUUGAUUUUCAAGGUGAUUUAUUGAACAUGUUUUCAAGCUUUACACAAAAUAACUUGUGAAAUGAUUUAGUAAACAUGUUUUUAAGUUAUUACUUCAAGAUAAAUGUUUAUGAACAUAUGCUCAAGUUCAAGUGAAUGCUUUCAUGUUUUCAAAUGCUUUUAUCCAUGCCCGAAUAUUUCAUGAGACAUAUUGUAUACAAGUGGUUAACUCCAUACUGAUGAUAGGGUUGAGAAGCCUAUAGUUUAUGGGUCAUUAGAAAUAGUGUAUUGUUAUGCCUUAAAGGAGGAGAGUUAUUUACCCAUUGACUGUUCCGUCUUCGAAUGAAGGGGUAAAUACUACCAGUGGCUAUGGACAAUUGUCUUCGAAAAGCUAUGCAAAUAUUUCAAGUUUCAUGUUAUGGUUGUUUAUUAAUAAAUGUAUUAAAGUUUCGGUUUUAUACUAAAAUGUUUAUGAAAAUAUGUUUUAUAAAACUGUUGCUCACUAAGUUUUUCGACUUACCCUUUCAAAAUGUUUUUCCUCUUUCUAGAUAUAGGUUAUGGAUCUCGAUAUGCUAAACUUAUUGCUGCCAGGCCAACUUAGUUUUUGUUAUGCAAGGACAUUGUUUUCAUUUAAAGAAGUAUUGUGAUUAUUCAAAUAUUUAUAUCUUUAUGUUUUGUUCAUUUUUUAUGAUACGUUUAAAAGAUUUCUUAUGGGUUGCAUUACAAAUUUCGAAGUAUGAUUCAACUGUUUAUUUUAAUGAAAAACUUUUGUUGUUUAAAAAGUUUUGCAAGUGUUCAUGUCAUGUGUCAGUUGAGGUUGUUUCGAACAACUUCGACUGACAUCACGCCUCGUCUUGAUCGACCUAACAGGUGCCCAAGACGGGGUGUGGGAGUAGAUUAUAUCAUCAAUAAUUGUUUAGUUGAAACAAGAUGUGUUAUUUUUCAACUUUGGAUCACAUGCCUAAGAGUUGAUAAUUUCUUUGAGUGGUUAGAACAAUGUAGUUGUUGUAAUAUGUUUGAUGCACGAGAUUUUAAUCUCCAACCUUAAGGAGUUAUUUGGGGGAGAGAAAGGAAAGGAAAAUAAAUGACCAUUUUAGUCAUUUCCACGUUUGGGGGAAGGAAUAAGUUUAAUCCUCUUGUUCCUUCUUAAUCAUUCUCCUUCCUCUCAAUCCCUAUCUUUCUUCCUUCCAAUCCUUCUUUUCCUCCGAUAAAUUAUUUUUCAAUUACAUCAAACUAUUCUCAUUUUCAAAAUUAUAAAUAUCUUUUCCUUAAUAAUUAUAUUUUCAUUUUUCCACAACAAAUAUAUGUAUAUCCACGUAUACAUGUAAUUAUCAAAUUUCUAACAAAAUUUCACUCUUCAAUUUAAUUAAAUAAAGACAAAAAAAUAUUUAAUUAUAUUUAAAUUCAGUGACACUAAAAAUCCAAAUCCAAUAAUUAAUGAAGUAUUCAACUCACAAAUAUUUAAUUAAUUUUAAUUUCACAAAACCAUAAAUUCUAAAUUAAAUAUCACGUGAUUGUCUGUAUGCUUGAACCACAUGACCUGUUUUUGUUUUAUUUCUUUUUUUAAAAAAAUAUAUUUUAUUUUGCAUUAUUCUGAUGUACGAUGUAAUUGACAUUCACUGUUUAACUGUAUUUCGAUUUUUUUUCUUUCGUAUUUCACAUCGUUUCAAUGCUAUUAUGUUCGUCGUCAUUUGUUUAAAUUGAUUGUCAAUGAUACCCAAUUUCUCGUUAUUGCACUUGCAACAUUAAUUUUUUUAAAAAUUAGAUAUAAUUUCUUUCGCACGUAACACAACAAUUAAUUUAUUGGCACAGAAAACUUGCAUACAAAAUGUUCAAAAUUGACAUCAUAUUUACGAAAAUUAAUGGAACAUGUUUUUUGAUAAAAAUUCUAAAUUUUGGUAAAUUAAAAAUACGAAUAUUUGUGUAUUAGAUUUGCAAUACGAAGUAAAAAAAAAUACAACAAUACAAAUUUAAAAUAAUAAUUUUUUUUUUUUGUCAUAACCCUUCUCACUUUUUCCUUCACAAACAAAGAUUAUCAUAAUCCUCUCACUUAUUAUUUCCUCAAACUGUUGGGGUUUAUGUUCUAAAACUGGUAGAUUGUAAAUAUAAUUCAUUGACCGUUAUUAAUAAAGUGUUGUUGAUUAUAUUAUUAGUUUUGUCUUAAUAACCAAAUCCAAUAAACUAACACUCUAAGUUAUUUGAUAAGUCUUGAAUAGUAUGUAAAGACAUACAAUGAUCGAUAUUCGAGAUCAACUUAAAGGGUCUAUAGUAUAGAGAUAAGGUUGGGUACCUUAUCCUAGUAACACUAUGAAUAACACUUUAAAUUUGAUACAAACACAAUGAUCCAAAGCGUUCGUGUAGGUGACAUUCAAGUGAGGGUAUCCUAUGCAAUGAGUUUGCAUAAGACCGAACGAAAUAAUAACCACUAAAUGUAACUUCGUUAACUAGUUAGGUUUAUAUUUCAUUAGGAUGACCUAUGUAACUUAUUCUUAAUUUAAGUGUAUUAUGAACUCAUAUUCGCGAGAGAUUGCCCUUUGAUAUGUACGGGUGAGAGUGGCCAGUUUUCGACUCAAUAUGCUUAUCAUUUUGGGAACAAUACCAAGUAGAGAGCUGAAAACAUAAUCAUACAAGAUGAAAUUUACUCCUUCCCGACUUUUGGGUAAGUAGAUGGGUGUUUCCUUAAAUGGUAUCUUCGAGACUUGAACAAAGAGCCCUAUCCUCUCUAUGGCGCGAGAGGGAUUUUUGUUUAUUGGUUGGACCAUAAACAUGUUGUUCAUUAGAAGAACACUAGUAUUUAAGGAUUGGAGGUAAUCUAGGGGUAAAAUAGUAAUUUGAUCAAGCUGGUGUUACGAACACUCGUGAAGGACUAACUUACUAUUAUUCUAUAUACGUGGACACAUAAUAUAUCUAUUAUGAGAAGAGUUUAACUGUGAGUCUUUAGUGGAGUGUACACACAAUUAACGAAUAUUGAUUAAUGUGGUGAAUGAGUUUAGUCAAUUAAUCUCAUAUCGUUGUAGAUUCUGAUUUAUAGAUUCAUUAGGUCUCCUAGCUCAUAAAGGAUAAUGAGAUUUAUUUAUAUUGGUUGUAAUUUGAAAUGUUCAAAUUUACUUUAAGAAUUAUCAUAAUGUAUAGUGAUACAUUAUAAUGUAAAGUUUAUAUUUUAAUCAAACUUUAUUAUAUAAAUUUAAUUUUGGAUAUGAUUCAAAAUUAAUUUACGAGAGAUAAAAUAUUUCAACAUUCAAAUAAAUUUAAUGUGAAUUAGAUUCAUAUUAAAAUUAAUGGUUAUGAGAAAUAUUUAUAUUUGAAUAUGAUUCAAAUAUUAAGUUAAAUAUAAGAUAUUUGAUUUUGCUAUUAAUUAAUUGAAGAGAAUUAAUUAAUAGUUUAGUUUAACUUUAUUUAAUUAAAUUAAUUUAAAACUAUAGGAUAUUGGAGAGAUGUUAAUUAAAUAUAAUUUAAAUGAAAUAUUAACUACAUAUGAUUUAAUUAAUUAUUAACUGAUUAAUUAAUUAAUUAGUUGAUUUGAAAUUUCUAUUAAUUUAAUAUUUUUUAAAUUAAUAAAAUCUCAUUAUUCUCUUCUACUCUCAAGAAAAGAAAAGAGAGUUAUAAAUAUGCAGAAGAAAAAUAAUUUUUCUAAAUUAAAAAAAAAAGUCAAUGCUUUUGCUCUUUGGAAAAAUAGUUUUCUCUUAAAACUUUUUCCAUCUCAAUCUCACACACCGAUCUCAUAUAUCUUAGAGCAUAGGAAGUUAUUCGAUGAGUGGUGUCCCCAAAUUUGGAGAUUUAGUAUAUUUAGGGACGUCAAACUACGCAAGUUUUUCUCUUUCUAAUCUAUACUUUAUUAAUGCUUAAUAAGAAAAUUAAUUUUUUAAUUAUUUUUUGCCAAUGUAUUGGUAUUUUGGAAUUCCCAAAUUAAAUUGAGGAAUGAUUCUGUAAAAUCUUCCACUGCCUAGGGCUUUUAUCCAUUGACAAACAAGGAUUAUCAUAAUCCUUUCCUUUUCAUAAUCCUCAUUUUUUCAUAAUCAUUUUCCCUUUUGUCACACCCUAAUCCGCAAAACUACCAAAACGCAGAAAGUAGUGCAGAUAGUACGUGAUUUAGCUUAAAACCUUGAAACUGAUCUUAUCUCCUAAUUCAAACUCAACUCCUUUAUAAACUACCAUGCGGCAGAGAUAAACAUAACGCACAUCGGAAGUUAACUUAAACUUUUAUUCAACAACAAGUGUUUUGACGUGAUUAAACGUUAAGACACUUAUCUUAAAUCCUUUACCUUGUUUAAACGCCAAAUAUUUUAAAUAACAUUCUUUAGGCAUUAAAGCUUAACGUAGUCAUCAUUAAUAAAUAAACUUAAACUUAAUUAACAACAGGCGUUUCUUACAUAGUAUACAAUUACAACACUUUGACCAAAAAAUGACAUUAAUCAAAUGCUUAAAUGCCUGGUAGCUUUCUCAAGUCGCUACAAGUCCUUCAACCUUCUUCUCUACUUGGCCUAAACGUCUGAUCUUGGAAGAUGGAAUUUUAAAACGUAAGUCUAAAAGAAUUAGUGAGGUUUUAUGAAAUCCUUUUCGCAAUACCUUUCCAUAAAUCAUUUUCACCAUAUCAUAUAGUUUAACACAAAUCACUUUAUUAAUAAACACAUCAUUUCGCAAAACAUUACAAUAAAAUCAGACCAACUUGCAAAUCACAUCAAUAUACAUUUUGCAUAAACACUAAUUAGUCACAAUCAUUCCUUUGGUCAAGGAUCCCAAAUCAUUAUCUACGUUUGGUCUCGUUACCUUGCGUUUAGACUACUAUAUCAACAACAUCCGAGAACUUACAGAUUUGUCAUUGUUGCUCAGGCUAUCUAACACAAUGUAGUCCUUUUGUACAUUGGUCGACUUUACUCCUCCAUGCAUGCCUUUUCUACAAGGUUGCCUAUAACCUUGUGUGUAUAUAAUAGUUAGCUCAUUCAAAGGAAACAACUAAUGAUUUGAAAACCAUUUUAUAAUCAAUAUCAUAGUCAUCAAAUCAAGCUUUAAAUAUUAUGAAACAUGUUUGAAAUGAUAUAAAUACUUUUAAGAGAAGAUCAUUCACUAUACUUAGCCUUAGAAUUGGAAAUCUCCUAUUCUUCUUCUUUCUCGCGGAAACAAAAUGACAGCACUUCACACUUCAAAAUUUCCAAAAAAUCUCCGAUACUUAGUGACCAAAAUCCUUUAUUUAUACUACUCUUUAACCUGGAUUAGUUAUCCUCAAAUCCUCGUCCAAUUUCCAACUCCUACUUAAAACUUUACAUGUGUAAAAUUAUAUUUAUCUUAUCCAUGCUUAAAUCCUUAAUCUUACAUGUUAACCUCGGUCAAAUCAGAUUUGAAAUCUUCUCACCGAACCUUUCUUCUCACUUAAUUUCAUUUCGAAUAACUUUAACAGCUCAACAUAACUUUCAAAGGUCUUAAUCCAAUAACUCCUUUUGUGACUAUCCAACAUUUUCUCGCGAAUAUUUUUUCUCUUGUGAAUGUUUACAGAAAGACCGUACGGGGUUGGUUUAUGGAAAUUUUGAAGGUGAAGAAACCCUAUCUUGCGAGAUACCCAUCUUGCCGAUCCACCACCAUUCUCUUCUUCUAGUUCUAAUGGCGCUGGAAUCAGGGGCAACAGACCCCUCGAAAACCCAAGUCCUCCUAAGAAAAUGCUCCAACGUCAUAUCCCAACUCCCUUCAUGGUUCCCGAUUUUGAACCCUCGUCGGCUAAGUUGAAGAGCCCGCUUCCACCUAAGCCUCCCUCUUCUAACCCGCUUAAGAGGAAGCUCAAUAUGGAGACCUUUCUUGAGAAUUCCAUCCUUGGGUUGUCAUAUUCUGGUGCGAAGGUACUUACAUGGUGUGAUUGUGGGGGGUUUGAUUUAUUUUUGUCUUAAUUAUGGUGUUUGGAACUGUUUUACCUCACAGUUGCUGUUUCUCCAUUCUGCAUAGCAUUUGCUGUUGUUUGGUCAAGACGUACUUGUAAGAAAAUGGUGUGAGCCAGAAUCUAUUUUCAAUUACAUGAAAAUUUUGAAGUUUAGAAUAUUACUGCUUAAUGUAAGAAGCUAACUUCUUGUUUUAAUGUUUUGUAAACAAGGGAAUUGCAUUGAUAAUUACAGUUCGUCCAAUAGUUCACAUACCGAAUCUUAAGUUAGAAUUUUUAAAUCUUGGUUCUAUGUUUAUGUAUCUGAAACAUGCUGAUCUUAAUUGGUUAAUUUGUAUUAAAAGUCAAAUUGACGUCUCAAAGUUAAUUGGCCUAUGUUUUGUCUUUUGCCCAAAAAAUCAUGAUCUCUACUCACUGAUGUGAUAUAUAAUCCCUUUUCUAUAGCUUGAUAUUAGAAGUUAAAUUACAAAAGUUAAACUAUGAACAUUAUAUCUAUCUAUAUGUAGGUUGAACUAUCACCAAAGUUGGUCACAAUGGGAUAGAUAACUAAAAUGUUUUUAGUUUUGAGACUAAAUACUCACGUUGCUUUAAAUUUAGAGAUGAAAAGCCAUUGUAACUCAUGAAAACAUAAAAUAUAAGCAUUCUCUUAAAUUUCUUAAAGAUAAGUUUCUUUUUCCAAACAUUUUGUGACGAUUUUUUCAAACGUUAUCAGCCCAUCUUCAUACUUCAAAUUGUUAUAAAAAACCUCUUCCUAUAUAACUAAUACUUUGGAGAACCUUACAGGUAUGACUAGUUGACAAAUAAGAGCCUUCAGAUUGGUUACUUCUUAUCAGCAAUGCUUGCUUAUGGAACAGGUAAUGAAGGAAGUAAUGUGUUUCCUUGUGAUGUUCAUAUAUAGUAAAGAUCAAGUAAUGCGUUUACUCAUGCAAUCUUUUCAUCAAUGAUGAUUUAAGUGAAGAAAAAUAACACUCUACAUUUAAUGUUAUUAUAUUGUAGUGUUGAUAGCACACACACAUAUAUAUUCUGUAAUGAUAUAUAUUAGGAAUGUGAUCAAGGAAGCCAGCUUGUCUAGAGAAAGCAAGAGUUGGUGUUGAAGGUUAGAUACUUUCUUUAAAAUUAGUUUUAUAGUUAUUGCGAGUUUUUUUAGGAUUACUCUGUGGCUAAAUCUUCAUUAACUUACUAUGCUGCCAAUGAGAGAUAUUGGAAGUUAGUUCUCUUUCCCAUGUUGCCUUGUUUUUAUUCUAAAUUUCUAAUAGGACUAUGAGAGUUAUUCAUAUUUUACUAUCUGUUUUUGUAGCAACACCCAUUCAUGAUGGCAUGAGUACACCUAUGCACCCAUGAGUCCGUCAAGGUAAAUUUCACGUGUUCUAGUGCACUUGAGAUAUUAAUUGAGAUAAUGUGGAUAACAUUGUAGAAUGUAUGUGCUGUAGAAAUUCCAUAAAUUAUUGUUAUUUAAAUAUUUUCAUUUACUUUUAUGAUAUUGUCUUACAGUUAAACCGAGGAACAUUUAAAUUCAAAGAUGACAAUUGACAACUUUGAAUAACUUUAUGAUAAGCUUGAAAAUAUUAAUGCUAUAGCAGAUAGCUAAUGAAUAUUUAUAGUUUUUAGUUUAUUUUUUGCCAGUCUGGCAUUGAAAAUUAAGAAAUAAUUCUUGAAUGUAUAUUUGUUGCUUUGUUCUUUCUCCAUAAUUCUUCUCUUAGUCAAUUCCUUUUGGAAAAUACUUUUAUGUUGAUUCUUUGUAUUCUGAAGAUGGCAACACCUUAUUGAUGAAAAACAUGACUAUAUGAAAAUGGAAAAUAGAAUUUUAAGUACAUUAAUUAUUGAAAUAGUGGGAUUGAGAUGGAUGGAAUGCACAUUUUUAACGCUCCUUAAGUUGCAUGGUUGAAUUUUGGACUAGGGAAGCUAGUAUAAAGAACAGUCAAACAAGAUGUGGUUUGUCAUUUUUCAGAAGGCAGGCUGUCAUAUUUGGUACAUAUUAAUGGUUUGUUUAGAUAUUGUUUGUAGAGUGAUUGAAGUCAUAUCAAGUUGGAAGCUAAGAGAUUGGGUGAAAGCUAAGCAAUCGUUGAAGGUUGAAGGUUGAAGACUGUGAAGUUCAAAGUUCAGUUAACAGCUCCUACAAUGCGAUCAAAUCCACCUACUCAAACCCACCUUCUGUUUCUAAAGCAGAAGAGAAUUGUGUUAGACUCACCUUCUAUUCCUAAAGUAGAAGAGCUUUCAAUGACUUAACCAAGUGAGCGAUUAAGUUUUUUAUCAUCCAUAUUGUUUCCUAUCCGUACUUCUAUCUAGAGAAAGAAAGCUACAUAGAAAAAGUAGACUACCAAAUGGGAAAAAAAAGAUUAGUAAGCAGUGUUAUUUUUGAAAAUAGUAAACAAAAAUUAACAUGAUUAUCAAACCAAGCCAUUCGAGAACAUGAAAUAGAAUUGGAUAGCUGUCGUGCAUUAUGUCUACAAAUGUUAUGAUAGUUACUAUGAUAUGGGGUUUAUGAAAGAGAAUUUCCUAUGUAUUUUAACAACAGAUGAUUCUUCAUCAUCAAGCAAAGUUUAUAGCUUUAAAGAGUACCUAAAGGUUACAAAAUAUCAGCCGAUAGCUCAUGAUAAGCUCCAAACGAAUUUUCCAGCACAAAGCCAGAGUGUAUCCCCAGUGCAACGUGAAGGUUGUUAAAAUCAAAUCUCUUAGGUCGUAUUCAAUAACUAUUUAGUUUUGGUUGUUUGUUUUCAUAGUUUUUUUUUUUUUUGUUGUAGGUAAAGUUUGAUCUUUUGAAAAGUUCUUUAGAGAAGCAUGUCAAUACCUCCAUCCUAUGCGAUUAUAAUCUUAGGGAAGACUUUUUGUUCCCUUUCCUUCUGUCAAUGCAUUUUUUCUUCUCUUUACAUAAAGGAAAAUUUAUUCUUUUAGUUUGAGAGCAAAUAUAUAUUAUCUUGAAUUUUAAGCAUUUCAGCAUCGUACGUUUUAUCAAAUAACAUAUGAUUGGAUGAAUUGACUACAUUCUUUGUGAUUAGUAUCAUUGAUUUUUUUGUUAUAUCAUUUUGUUCACAAUGGUUGAUGGUUGUAGUUUUCGUUAGUUGUUUUCAAAAUGAGUUUAUAUAAUUUUUUUUUCUUUGAAUCCUUGCCAUUGUUGAGUAGUAACUUGGCAUUUGUUUAUUAAAAGGUUUUAAUUAAGAUUAUGGUGUUCAUAACUUUGUAGUCACACUAAAUAACUUAAAAGAGUUAGUUUUUGAUAGUGACAAACAUGAUAGUAAUGUGAUACUGAGUGUGAGGGUAAAAAGAGCUGCUUCUGUUGUGAUAAGAGACGACCCCGUGGAGCGAGUGCUCUCAGCACAAAUCCUUAAAACGAUUGUAUGAAACUAAUCCAAUUGGGUUCAAGUGAUGUUUGUGUUUUUGGGUAUGGUGUGUUUUGUUUUCAAGUUCGUUAGUAGACGUAUUACUUAAUUGAACAUUUUGAUACCAUAGCCAGUGUAGAGACGAUGAAUGAAGGGUGCUAUAAGACUAGUUAAGACUUAUAUGUGCCUUAUUUCAGUAAUAAAUAAAAUUAAGAGAAUUUUCUUUGAUUUUUAGGAACAAAGAUGAAUAAGCAAUGAAAAAGGAAUGAAGAGGUUUAUCCAUGCAAGCUUCAAACCAAGUCAAGAUGUCAAUCCUUCGAGGGGAGUCCACUGUUCCCCCUUAUUUUUCUCCCUUUACUUUGAUUUCAAAAGCUUUGAGGACAAAGCAAGUUUUUAAGUGGAGUGGGUAAUAGCUUGCUUAGCUUGAAUGUUUAGUCUAAACUUGGGGGAUUUCAAAUUUUGCCCAAAUUAAGAAAAAAUUCAAAAAAAAUUUCCUUACAAUAAUGAGCAAUAUAGCUUCUUAGCUUACUUAGAUCUUGCAUAAAAAAUAUGACUAUCAACCCUUGAACACUGAGUGUAGCUGCAUCAUUCUUAACGCAUGAGAUCACGUCAACUCACUUCGAGAUAUAGUCAACAACCAAUAAUAUGUACACAUGAGUUCCAGACUAUGGAAAGGGGCCCAUGCAGUCUAUCCCCACAUAUGAAGGGUUUAACUCUAAGAUAGGUUGUUAGAGUAGUUCAUCGCGAUGGGUUAAAUUCCCUAUCCUCUGACACCUGCCACAUUUUAUCACAAAGUCCUUCACAUCAUGAAAGAGAGUUGGCCAGAAAUAGCCACUCUGUAAUACUUUUGCAGCAGUCUUUGGCCACCACAAUGUCCAUCAUAAGGUGCUUCGUGGCAUUUGGCUAGUAUGUCAGUUGUUUCGUACUCAGGCACACACUGCCUUAUUAUGGGAGUUGACUUAGUUUGUACAGAAAAGGCUCAUCCUACCUAUAAAAGCGACAUUCAUGAAAUAACUUCUUCGUUGCUUGACUGUUGAAAUCUUGCAGCCAUUCCUUACAAACAAGAUAAUUUAUUGUCGACGUACCAUGCUUCUUUUAUUUCAACGUGGAAAAGCUGCUCAUUUGGGAAUCUUUCAAAUCUCCUUGGCCUCGGGCUGAAGUUUAUCAUUCUUAAGUCGUUAUAAGUGAUCAUAUACUUGGUUCUAUGUGCCUUUGCAGUUAAUUAUCUCAACGUUAAAUUCCUGAAAUAACAAAAUCUAUCAUAUUAACUACGGUUUUGCAUCUUUGUUCACCAUAAGGUAUCUAAUCGUAGAGUGAUCCGAAUGCAAUGUGUUUUUUGAACCAAUGAUGUAACUUCUGAAUUNNNNNNNNNNNNNNNNNNNNNNNNNNNNNNNNNNNNNNNNNNNNNNNNNNNNNNNNNNNNNNNNNNNNNNNNNNNNNNNNNNNNNNNNNNNNNNNNNNNNNNNNNNNNNNNNNNNNNNNNNNNNNNNNNNNNNNNNNNNNNNNNNNNNNNNNNNNNNNNNNNNNNNNNNNNNNNNNNNNNNNNNNNNNNNNNNNNNNNNNNNNNNNNNNNNNNNNNNNNNNNNNNNNNNNNNNNNNNNNNNNNNNNNNNNNNNNNNNNNNNNNNNNNNNNNNNNNNNNNNNNNNNNNNNNNNNNNNNNNNNNNNNNNNNNNNNNNNNNNNNNNNNNNNNNNNNNNNNNNNNNNNNNNNNNNNNNNNNNNNNNNNNNNNNNNNNNNNNNNNNNNNNNNNNNNNNNNNNNNNNNNNNNNNNNNNNNNNNNNNNNNNNNNNNNNNNNNNNNNNNNNNNNNNNNNNNNNNNNNNNNNNNNNNNNNNNNNNNNNNNNNNNNNNNNNNNNNNNNNNUGGGAUGGCGAUUGGAAUUGAUUACUUUGGUUAAAAUUUAAGAUUAGAUUAAAAAAAUCAAUUAAUAGAUAAUUCCAUCCAAUCAAAAUAACUAAAUAAAAGACGAGAUUUGAAAAUAUAAUAUCCUAAUAGACACUAAUAGACUUAUAUUAAUAGAUAAUUUCCUGCCGAUGAAAAAUUACUAAAGUUGUACUAUAUUUUAUAAAUAUUUCAAAACAUUACAUAAACACUAAUUAAAGUUGGGUUUAGUAGCAAAAGGUUACAAAUUUAUUGACACCUUUUAGGAAAAAAAAUACCUUGACAUGAUGUAAACUAAAUUUGUAAUCAGCAUUGAAAUCUUUACUAUAUAAAUGGGCUCGUGGAGAAAAAAUUAUAUACAUCUAUUUUAUUCUUAAAUUGUCGAAAAAAAAUUAUAUUACCUUUUGUGAUCUAACGUAGUUGUGACUUUUAUAGUGUAAGUGUCCAUUUUAAUGUUUGGAAAGAUGAUUUUUCCAAUUUUUUAGUUUACAAAAUAAAGUUCUAUAUUUCAUAAAAUAAAACCUUAUGUUGAAUAUAUGUAACUAAUGUUGAUAGGAUGUGAUUGGUUGAUCUUCAAGAUACGAUGCAUUCUGUUUAGAGUGGAGAUGGUUGCACACACAUCAAAUUGGUGCAUUGAUUCCUCCAAAUUUACAUGUGAAAUGUAAAUGUAAAAGAAAAACAAAACAAACUCUUGCAGUUACACAUUAGGAAAAAAAACGUCACGAAAUUCCAAAGUUCAAAAGAAAACAAACAUACACAGGGAUUUAAUUGAUUCAAAGUAGUAACAAAUGGUGAAAAAAUGCAUAAUUUGUUGUGAUUUCACAUUAACAUGUUAGAAUAAAAAAUUAUCGUAUUCUAUAUAUUACAAUAUUGGAUCAAAUAUUAAUACAUUAAUUUAAUUAUUUAAUUACUACAUCAAUGAAUUUCUUUUUCUUUUUUAAAUAAUAAUUUUACCAUUAAUAUUAUAUAAUAUUUGUUUAUUAUAUGCUAAAGCAUAUUUAAAAAUUAAAUAGAAUUAAGAGAUUUCACGUGAAUUUAUGCACAUGUUUCAACUGAAAAGAUGGAAACAAUAGUCACAAAUUAUUUUUUCCUAAAACAAAACAUUCGUAACCAAAUCUAAAUAUGCACUUUCAUAACUAAGGACCAAAACUCAUAUUACGUAGAAUUGAGCAUGGUUUAAAUGAAAUUAUUAACAAAAUACUUACACUUUAAACCAGGUUUUUUGGCAACAUACAUAGUGAGAAAAUUCCAAAUUUACCCUCUUACUUGUAUCUUUUCAAUAAAAAGUGCAUCUUAGUUGUAAUUAUGUCAAAAUAAAAAUAAAAAAAUAACUCGUCAGUUAACGUGGUUAUUCAUUAAUUGAUUUGGGUGAACUUUCUGAAGAUAAAAAUAACAAAAACAAACAAACAAAAGACUAGAACAUGUUAUUUAAUUAUGUAAUUACAACUUCCCUUUCUCCUCCGUGAGAAAAAAAACCAUUUCUCUAAAUUUCAUCUAUAUAUGUGUAUUGAUCAAAUGACCCAUAUCAAUAAGGACACAAAAUUGGCAAAGAACAAAUAAAUUAAAAUGGACAAUAACUCUUGUUUCAUUACUUUCUCUCUCAUUGGAGUUCUUUUGUUCACCAUCAUUUCAAAUGUGGCAUCAUCUAACGACGUUGUUUCUACCAUCUGUUCAGAAAUCUCAAAUCCACAAUUUUGUUUAAGUGUGUUGAAAUCUGCAGGCACUACAGAUCUAAAAGGCUUGGCUGUAUACACCUUAAACCUUGCUCAUUCAAAUGCUGGCAAAUCUUUGAUCCUAGCCAACUCACUAGCAAAAGCCACCACCAAUCCUCAACUUAAGCAACGAUAUUCAUUUUGUGCUGAGAGCUAUGAUGAAGUUGUUGGUGACAUUGAAAAUGCUCAAAACGACUUGGCACUUGGGGACUUUAUUGGUGUCAUUAUUGCAACUACUGGUGCCAUGACAACUCUUGGUGAUCACUGUCAGAAUAAGCUCUUGCAGCCCGCCGAAGGAUACAUCGUUGCUUUUAAAGAAUAGCAACACUCUAGAUGAUAUAUUUAGCAUUAUUAUGGUUAUAUCCGAUCAUCUUUGAGGGUUAUGUACUUGAACAUUUUGAUCAAUAAAUAAACUGAAGUUUAAUUUUUAAAAUAAUAUUACAAUGUGAUGGUGAUUGGAAUUGAUUACUUACUUUGAUUAAACUUGAGAAGAUAAAGAAAAUCAAUUAAUAGAAACGUUCACCGACACACAUUGUCAGCACGUCGGAGAAAGCCUAAACUUUUUUUUCUUUUCUUUUACGUUCUGUUUUCUUUUCUUUGUUUGCCAUCAUCAUCAUCUUCUUCUUCUUCUUCUAGCUUCUUAUGUUCUGUUUCAAUUGCAUACUUCUGUUAUUCUUGUAAUUUCUUCGUGGUUUUCUUUUUAACUUUGUGUUUCAGUGUGGAUUCAUAAACACAUUUUUCAGUGCUCUGGAUUCUGGAUCUGUUAUGAUUUGAAAGGGUACAGUGAAGUGAAAAGUUGAAAUGGAAAAGAAAAAAAGAAGAAAAGAGGACACUUCUCGCGGUGGUGGCGGCAAAGACUGACGUCGACGACAACACAACUCUCCUCCUCUCCCUAUAUCUCGGCCGAUUUUGGGUUUAUUUUCGUUUUGCAUUCUGUUAUGUGUAGAAGGGAGAAUAAAUAGUGUGGACUUUCCCCGACAUCUUCGAAAACGUUGGGAAAUUUACCUUUCGCCGACGUAUGUAGUACACACGUCGGAGAAAGUUUAAAUAAUAAAUUCAUUAUUUAAACUUUCCCCGACGUACUCCUGUCAUACGAGUCUAAAUUAAAUUUAAUGCGUUCUCCUUCGGCGAUGUGUGUCAAGGUGACGUUGGAAAAAGUUUAAACACUAAUGCAAUUAUUUUAAAUCACAUAUGUUAUCGCUUAUAUGGCAUAAGAGUCUAUUAACGAUAGAAAUCUAUCUUGAUAGGUUUUGCUACAUUUACAAUUUUUAAAAAUAUUCUUAUAUACUUAACUAUUAUUCCUAAAAUUGCUAACCCAUUAUACUUACCCUAAGUUAAAUGUAUAAUGUCAAAAGUAAGUUUACUACGAAGGUAAUCUAUGUGACCCUUUUAUCCUAACGUAGGAAGUUUGUUCCACUCCAUACCAUUAUUGAACUAAAAGGAUUAAGUGUGUAUUAAUAUGUUUAAACAAGUAUAAUUAUAGCAAAAUCUAUAAGUGAUAUAUUGAUAUUAGCAAUACAAUACGCGUCACAUAUGCAAACAUUUUGUGUCUAAUCGUUGUAUUUACAAUUAACUCCAUUAAAAUAUUACAAAUAGAAAUAGAACUCUUUAACUAUGUUCAGUUAGGAUCACAAACUACAAAAUGAAAGCAUGGAACAAAUUUAAUUUUUUUUUUCUUUAAAGGAAAUUUUGUGUGUAGCACAUUAUAUUUUUUUCUUUCCUUUAAAAAACAUUAUUGAUCUUAUGAUAUUUGACAUAUAUUAUAUUUUUUUAAGAAUGUAAAUAAUGUAAAUAAUGUGCCAAAUAAUUGAAAACAUGUUAUCCAAAACAGAGAAUGGUUAAGAAAUUGUUGACAUUUAGUCAAAUUAAUAAAUAAUUCAAAAUUGUGUUUGAUUUUUGAAUUUGAAAAGAUAGUAAAUUAGAAGUGUUUUGAAAUAGUGUUUACGAGAAGAUUUUUAAUUUUAAAUAGCAUUAUAGUAGCUAUGGAUGGUUAUAUAAUAGUCUACACAAUCUUUGUCACAAAUGAUUAAUUCGAUUUUUUAAAUCAAGUCUAAUGUUUUUUUUUUUUUUUUUGCCUAUUUCUUACCAUAAUUUACAUUUUUUGUAAGUAUAAUGGUUGAAUGCAAAAAGAGAGCUGACUAGUAAGUGCAAAAAGAGAUCUCACAAGCUUCUGCAAAAGCUAAUCAAGCAACCCAAAUCAUAAACGAGGAGAAAAGUUGAUUGGUUAAGCUUUGUUGUAGUAAAGAAGUCAAAGUGAACAUGGAACGUUCUUCACUCUCAAAGAACAUCGCCAACAUAUAGAUUAUAUACUUUUUCUGGUAUUGACCCAAAAAACCAAUCCAAGUGUAUUUUUGGUGAGAUGCAUAGUUUAACUAAACCGUGUUAUUACAAAAUUUUUAAUUACUAGGAACUCCUAAUGAAACGAAUACAUUAUUUUUAUAAUUACGAGGUAAAAUGGAAACAUACAAACUACUAAAAAAAGUUGCAAUUCGAUUAUUGGGAUUCAAUCUACUCUCCAUGAAUGUUCUUGAAAUGAGAGUUUUUAAGCAGCUACAACUUGCUUAUGUAUAAAAGCAAAACCCUUCUCAACGCCUAC